CACUAGCUGCUAAAAUCAUGUGGCCUAAAAAUGCUACCUCUCUCUCAGAAUCACUCGCACUUCUUUAGCUUGACAAAUAAUCUCCUCUCUCUCAGAAUCUGUAACACAAAUCUCAAGUGCUUCUCAUGCUCAGCAUCACUCUAGGGGUGCGUUUGGUUCGCGUUAUCUUUUAAAGAUUCCUAGUAAUCCAAUGGGAAUAAAAAAAUAUGACGGUGUUUGGCUAAACGCACUAAGUAAUCUAGUUAGUAAUAUUGGAUUCACUUGGGAAUAAGAUUCACCCCAAAGUAUUAAUCCCAUUCCCUUGAGGGAGAGUGAGUAUCCUCAUAUUAAUGGAUUGGGGUAAUCAUAAUUUGUCUAAUCUCUUUCUUUCUUCUUACCGGCCGGCUAAUUGAUAUUAUUUUUCUUUACACUCUAACCUUAUAUCUCUCUCUAAACUUAUUUUUCUCUCUAAAAUUCAACUUUUUUUCUCUCUCUAAACUAAGCUUUCCUCUCUCUCUCUCUCUUUCUAAAAUUUCAAUUCUCUCACUCCCUCUAAUUUCGACUAUAUUUUUUUCUAUUUUUUUAAUUAUGCUCUCUCUCUCUAACUUAUACUCUCUCUCCCUUUUUCUAAAAUGAUAUUGAAACUUUUGGUUACAUUAUCUAAAAUUAAUUAAAUAAAUAAAUUAAUUAAUUGUAUAUUUUUUUUAAUAUUAAAUAACAUGGCUAAUUAAUAUUACCGUACGAACCAAACACAGGAAUUCCACAUUCUUAGUAAUAGGAUGAAUACGAAUAAGAUUCUCGAAUAUCUUUUAUUCCUAGUAAUCUUUCAUAAUGCGAACCAAACGCACCCUAGAAGUAAAGUAGGAUACAUUAAUGAAUACAACUGUGAACCAAUCUAAGAACAGCUUGAACACUCCAUUCAUCAAAUCCAUAAAUAUGGCUUGAGCAUUCGUCAAUCCAAAUGACCUCACUAUGAACUCGUAAUGUCAGUACUGCAUCCUAAACGCCGUUUCAGAAACAUUCUCAGACUUGAUCUUCAAUUGAUGAUACCCUAACUGUAGGUCAAUCUUCAAGUAGACACAAAAUCCUUAUAGUUGAUCAAAAAGAUGUCAAUGUGCGAUAAAAGAUACUUGUUGUUGAUGGUCACUUUAUUCCAAUCUCCGUAAUGGAUACAUAGUCUUAGUGACCCAUUUUUGCCCUAACUAUGAUAAAAUCCACUUUUCUGGAAAUCGUACGUCAAACCUAAAAUUCAUCAAUGCCGCUGACUCCAACAUAGUCGAACCAUCGAAAACGAGCUAUUAGAUUGCCUGAAACGAAGUUCGAUACGCGGCAAAAGGCAUCUACACUCAACGGCCUCUUUCGGAAACAUGAGUUACUAUCCACUUAAGUGAAUAAUGAAAAUCACGUAACAACUUCAAUUUAACUCGUUUUCCAUUGAAAUUGGACGAGUGGUUAUGGAAUUAAAAUACACAUAAAAACGUCACUAAUAGAGUAUUUAAUUACAUAGAAAAAUCAUAGUCCUCAUACUAUCCCCCUCUUAAAAGAAGUUUCGUCCUUGAAACUUGCUUACACUUCUCCCACAACAAAUCUCGAUACCGAUCUCACAUCACCGACUCUAACCCCCAAGUCACUUUGCGUUCCUUGUGAUCCUACCCACAAUACCGUCACAUAAGGAAUCGUUCAAUUCUGUAGUAGCCUUUCCUCGCGUGCCAAUUGUUAGUUAUAUGCCCAAAAGCCAAUCUGGUGACACUAGCUUAAGGGUAUUUAUAUCUUAAUUAUUUAUAAUUCAUAAUAUGAGGGCAGAUAUUCUAUUCAUGUUUAUUGUAUAGCAGUUCAAUAUUAACAUGAAUCGUCCAUAGAGUCUUUGUUUGAAAAAACAUAUUCCUAAGAGUUAGGAAUUUGAGAUAUGUAUUUUUCUGUACGAGACUUUUAAAUGCUCCUAGCCAGAGGAAUAUUACAGAGACGGUGAUAUUCCGGAUAGGCCGGUGUAUGCUAUGUUUCUAAUUGAGGUGACGAAUCUCAAGUCACUAGUGUAGGGACACUAGAACAAGCAUACAUGUGUUUGUUAGAGAAUAAGUACACUGAGCGUGACUAUUUAGUUGAACAGUCAUAUGGUUCUAUGCUCGCUAGUGACAAGUUCAUUGCUACAGUUGUGUGAAGUACUCCUUGGACCUGAGGCAUCAUAGUUGCUUCACGUAUAGAUUGCUACUGUUUGACAGUACUAAUACUUAGACUCUAGACACGUGUCUAUGUUCGGUACUGAUUGGCUGUAGUGAUUUAUGCGAUGAGGCAUGUGAAUGCGCAAUAAAGAAUCCAGCACUCUCAAUGAUGAGGAAGAAUGUCCUAUGUAGUUUAUCGGACUCGACUCGGAAAACCCCUGGCCAGGGUACAUAAUAUGUGGAAAGAGUUUCUAACUGUGUUACCAUAUUGAGUUGAUUUCAGAUAUUCUAGUCAUAUGGUCGAAUGAUAAGGUUUGGCGAGUAAUCAUGACCUGAGUUCGAUUGGGACGUUGUAUGUUGGAAGGAAUUAAUCACAUGGUAACUGUAAGUGGAAAGGUUCAUUCUUCAUCACCAUUCUGGAUUGCCGUGAUAUACUGCUAGGUGUCACUCACGGACGGUAAGAGAAUAUGAAUGAUUCGAAUUGAAUUGUUCUUAUUUAUCGAUUAGAAGAGUUCUAAUUAAAUAUCAAAGAGUUUGAUGUUGAGCUCCACUGCCGAAUGAUAAUGAACCUAUGCGGUCACACACAUUAGGAAUUAUGUGCACCUGAAUCGUUUGGAUGAAAGUCGUUCACUAAAGAUUUAGUGUAAGCGAUGAAAAUAAAAAGAAGCUGCUUAAUUAAAUUAGAUUUAAUUAUUCAAUUCGGUUAUAACUGAUAGUCCUAAUUAGAUUAGGAUAUCAGAAUCAGUUUGAGAAUUAUGCGCAAGAUUUAAAUUUAUCUCUAAUUAGAUUAGUGGAUAAUAUUUAAUCAUAAAAGAUAUUUAAAUGAGAUUUAGAUAUUAGUAAGUAAUCUUAUUGGAUAAGAUCAAAAUUAGAUAAGAUCUAAUCAAAUAUUGGAGAGAUUAAUAUUUAUCUCUAAUUGGAUUAGAGAAUAAUUAAAUAUUCAUAAUAUCUUAUAAGAUAAGAUUUUUACUAGAUUUGAUUUAGUUGGAUAAGCAUGAAUAUUUAUUUGUUAAAUUUUAUUAGAGAGAGAGAAAAAUCUUAUUAGAUAAGAUUUUAUGAAAUAAGAUUCUAUAUAUACAUAUAUAGAUUUAUAUGUAUAUGUUAGAAUAAAAAAAUAAAAAAAAAUAAAAAAAAGAAAAGGAAGAGAACCGUACGGCACAUAGUGCCAUACGGAUUGAAUGCAUGGUAAUUAAGAUGCCAUGCAUCUUAAUUAAUUUGAUGCAUGUUAGCUUUUUGAUCUAUAUACAUAUAGAGAUCAAUCUCUCCGAUUUCUCCCCACGCGCGUGUUUCUCUCCGAUCAACUUUUCUACUCUUCAUUGACUGGUGGAUCAUAAAAGGAUUGCUAGCACCGUCCAGAUGGUCCAUGACUCAUCCAGUUCGUGAGACGAAGAUCGAUCGGGUCGCCGAUUCCGUGUGGAUAUGCAUAGAGGACGGGCAUGUGCGCGACUAAUUGGAAUCUAUGUUCGUCAUAUUUAGUUUCAACCGUACAGUAGAUCAAGAGACCUUAACUGGUCCACGGUAAGAUCUCUAAACAUAAAGAGUUUUUGCUUAGACUAAAUUUUUGCAUAGUAACAUGAGAAUGAUCUGCCGGCAACGGUUUGAUUUAUUGGUUUUCGGUUUUCAUAUGUGAUAUGUAUUUAGCUUCCGAAAAAUUUUAAAAAGUCCGAAACUAUUUUUCGCUGCGUUUUUGUGAUGUGCCGGUUAAUUCCUAACACCAAUAUUUGCACCGGAGCCUCCUUGAAGCUCAAAUCCUCGCGAGGCUUAAAGCCGUAGGGUUGAUCAUGAGGGAGGAGCUACGAAAGUACUUGCGAGGCAUAGAGACAUGAAACACAUUGUGAACUUGGGCAAGGCUCGGGCAAAGCUCGGAGGAAGCGCUAGUCAAAAAGCUACGGGACCAAUGUGCUCCAGGAUCUCAAAUGGUCUAAUAAACCGCUGGUUAAGCUUGCCACGCAACCCGAACUAUUUGAUCCCUUUUGCCGAAGCAACCUUGAGCAACACAUGUUCCCCAACCUGGAACUCCAAGUCGCGCUUGCUCGGGUCCGUGUAACUUUUCUGCCGACUCUGUGUAGUUAAGAGCUGCUUCCUCAUGAUGCGAACUUUAGCCUCUACUUCUUCCACCAAGUCUGGCCUGAUAACCUUACGUUCACCCAAGUCGUCCCAAAAGAUCGGGGAAUGACACCGACGCCUGUACAAAGCCUCGUACGACGCCACCCCGAAGCUCACCUAAUAACUAGUAUUGUAGGUGAACUCCACAAAGGGUAAUUAGCUAAACGACAAAGUUUAAUGUGACUAAUUCUCACAUAUGCCCAGGCACUAGGGUUGCAACUUAACUAUCGAUUGCUGAUACACAGCUUUUAUUUGCUAAUGCACCAAGGCAUAGCGGUAGUGUCGUGCCUUAAAAACCCUUAAUCCCGUGUUAGAAACACUUGCCUCGGAGGCUACAGCCUCCUACCAGUCUGAAUUACAAACUACCAAAGUCAAACAUUUACCAUCGAAAACCCAUCGACGACAUUCGACUCCCCUAGGCCCAAGACCUAACCUUCCACCUAGGCCACAAGAUUUAGGGCUGCCACUACUAAUUGAGCUUGACAAUUUAGCCUACUCAAUCGCCCAUUUGGGUACAAUCAAAAUACUUUCUGUACCCCUAACUUAAGGGCAAAUAAGAAAAGUUGGUGAUGGUGGAAAGAUAUAUUUGAAAGCGCAAAAUAGUAAUUUUAUACAGAUAACAACUAUUGCUAACAGUUCAUUAGCGAAAUUUAACUCUAGGGGUAUAGUUGAAAUAGAUUGAAAUGUAAAAAGAGUAUUUCAAUAUUAGUCUUCUAAGAGGGGUAAAUUAGAAAGUCAAGAACAUUUUAGGGAUAUAUAAACAAUUGCCCCAAAAAAUAAAUACAACCAGCUGGCAAAAGCCAGACCAAAAAUGUACAGCGGUCUAGCAAAAAUAAUAUCGGGGUCCACACCUAGCCCACAAAACAGAAAGAAGAGCUAUCUGGCUAGCAAUCCCCUUAUCUCGGUCCACAGUCAUUGCUACCGCUGUAGAGGUAUCUGCAAAAAAGGGGCUCAAUAGAGGGUGUGAGAACUGCUAAAAACCAGUAGUCCUCAAUGGGUACAUCAUUGACAACGAUAACCCACCCACUAGGUCUACUAGACGCAUAAAGGGUAAAGUGGUAAAGAACAAAUAAGAAUUGAUGAAAGAAAAAUUACCACUAUUAUGCCUCUACACUAGUAUGGAACGAGCAAAUGUAAAAGGAAUGAUAUGCAUCAACUCUAAAAAAAUCCGCCGAGAAGAACCCAAUCAACCGACUGGCUCAAAAGCGCAAUCCCGCCUGCACUAACAUCACAUCUUAUCUCACUAACAACCUGUGGAUCGCCAACGUGAAACAUACCCAAAAGUAAUUAAGCCGCCUAACUCCGGAGUUGCACUCAAGGGGAGCGAUCUGCUUGAGAAUAAAGUAACCAGGUCAAGUAUGUCGUAGGCAAAAAUCAAUGAUCAUGACCAAAGUGGAACAUGCUAGCCACUAAUAAAUAAUCUCUAUCCCAUCUGAUACAAAAUCAAAUAAUCCAAUACAACCGUUCCAAAUCCACGGCUACUGUAAAUCAUAUGAGUCAAAAAUCCAGUGAUGUCCUGCCCCGACUCUAUGAUCAUCACACUACCUCUAACAUAUGCUCAACAUUCCAUAUAUAAUGAACUAACCAAUAUAAGAAAAGGGAUUUCAAGUUCAACUUCAUAAGCAACAUGUAUAAACAAUGUUUGUAAUGUGAAUCCUAUAAAUAUUGUCAUUCUCAGAUAUCUUAAAGAGUCGAUUAAUUAAAAUGUAUGAAUUCGUAACAAUCUCCUAACUCAAGUAAAUAGUAAGUUGAUCAUAGAAUAAAAACAUAAAGAAAAAACUUGCCAUUUCCAUUACAAAAUAUACAAUAUUUUCGUAGUACUACAAAUUCUGAACUAAACGUCCCCUAAGUGUGCUCAUUUCUUAUAAGCAUGCUUUUGUUCUAAUGUUGACAACGAUACCCCUAAUUUGAUAUUGCAUUAUCAAAAAUAUUUAAUUUUUUGAUUUAUUCUGUCAAAAAGAUUUUUUUAGAGUUAUUUUAGAAACUGGAAUACUAUAAAAUAUUGAGGGAACCGCCGUUGUGGAGAUUCCCAUUAUCAUUAUCGUUUUACAUUAUUAGAUGAGAUAAAAUUUCACGACGCUUUCAAGUUCCUCCGAAGCAUUACAGUAGACGCAUUGAGAAACCACAAUUCCAAACUAGACAAUAGCAUAAUAUAUUUCCUCUAAUUUAGUAGGUUCCCUGGCAAUAUUUAGUAGGGACAUUUCUGGUAAUACAUUUGCUCUCAAUCAUUUAGUUUAGAAUGUAAAGGUUAACCUAGAUAGUAAGUCCACUUAUGCUAACAACUUAUGAACUCAAACGUCCUCCUUUAUCUAAAAUCUUCACCGUAAUUGCAACUAUUCAAAUAAAAAAACAUUAAUGUUGUGUGUUUUCUUUUCGAAAAUUCUUUUUUAUUCCGCUCUAACCAUUUGAUGGAGGUAGUUAAGGUAAAUUGCAUUGUUAUCCCCUGAACUUUUGACGAAGUUUCACUUUACCUCUCGAAUUUCUAAAAUGGACAUCUAACCUUCUAAACUCUAAUAUUUCAUUCAUGUUACCCCUUCCAUCAGUUUUCCGUCAAGCUCCGUUAACUGAAACUGACGGAAGGGUAAAACGAAUGAAAAAUUAGAGUUUAGGGUGUUAGAUAUCUAUUUUAGGAGUCCGGGGGGUUAAGUGAAACUCGCCAAAAGUUCAGGGGGCAACAAUACAAUUUACCCAAAUUUUUACUAUAAAUUAUUUUUAUAUUUUUAUAUUAAAAAUUUCUAAUUAACUGAAAUGAAGUACAAAAUUUUUAUUUAAGUGUAUUUUAUAGAACAAUGCUUCUAAAGAUAAAAGGGACAAACGAGUACUAUAGAAAAUUAACUGAGAAUUAAAAUCUCUAUAUCCGAGUGAGGACACCUAUUGUUCGAGUAUCGUAGGUAAUUAGUAUCGCUAUUUUUUUAUCUUUAAGCCACUCUAAUUUAUUUCUUUCACUUUUAUUUUAUUACAAUAAAAUAUAGGUUAAACUAUGGUAUGAUUUAUUUUAAGAUAAAAUAUAUAUAUAAAUUCAAAAUCAAGCAUGAUCAUUAACUUGAGGAUUAGUAGUCAAUCCAUAAGUAACAUAUUAUAAUAAAAUAAUUUAUAGUCUAGAGCUAGUCCCCUACGGAGUAAAUUGCACUACUACCUCCUGAACUUUUAGCGAGUUUUACUUAAACCCCCAAACUCCUAAAAUAGACAUCUAACAUCCUAAACUCUAAUAUUUCAUUCGUUUUAUCCAUUCCGCCAGUUUCCGGUUAACGGAGCUUGACGGAAAACUAACGGAAGGGGUAACAUGAACGAAAUAUUAGAGUUUAGAAGGUUAGAUGUCCAUUUUAGGAGUUCGAUGGGUAAAGUAAAACUUCGCCAAAAGUUCAGGAGGUAACAGUGCAAUUUAUCCGAGGUGGUAGUUUCCUCUUGCAGGAGCCGUUGGGAUACCUAUUGUUCUUAGUGUGGCUUUUUUCCCCUCUCUUAAGAGGUCUGGUUACCUCACCUUAUAGCUAAGUUUACUUUUUAAUUGAAUGAAGCGAUAGUAUACUACUAUUUUCUCAGAAAAAAAAAAGAAGAUCGAGUCUAACUAUAGUUUAUGGAGCCGGAUUAUCGCCCGCGAAUGUUUUUUUAGAAAGUUUUGUGAACCACGGUCUACGUCCGACCAAUUUGCAUCCCUUAUCCUACAGGUAAGUUCAGAUUUUUCACUAGCAUUAAAAAAAAAAAAAAGGGCAGGAAAAAAUUUUGUUUUCCCAGUAAAAGUUCUCUUUGUUUCUUCCUAUGAGACUUGAUACAGAACAGAUAGAUAGUCACAGUAAAUAUAUGAAAGAAUAUCAAAAUGAGCAGAUAAACAAAUUUUUGAUGAUCACUGCGAUGAUAAUGCACAGCUCUCUUAAUCCCACUUUGAUCAAACUGUUGACACCCACCUUGCGAUGUCAGGGCAUACGAAAAUCCGAAUUGCGGAGGGUGCCAAAGGCCAAAGGCCAAAGGCUUCGGCGGUCCUGAUUCGGCAAGGAUGAAAUAAGGCAGGCUGGGAGAUCCGUUUAAAAAUUAGAAAUUUAAAAGUUAAAUAGAACCACACUGAGGGAAUUGGGGACGAAUGAAAAGUUCGGAAGCAGUUUUGAAAAGGAAAGAUAAUGCAUCACGGAAGUUACUCUGAUUGCCGCGGCAGAGGAAUUAUAAAAGAGAAAGAAGGCUACAGAGAAAAGGAUCCGGAGCCAUCACAUUUGACACGUCUUUUAACUGUAUCAAGGGCAGACCAGGUGUAACAUAAUUUAGUAGUUGUAAUUUAGAAUUCGCCAUCCUUGAGCUACCAUCUCGCCUGACGACAAGUGCGUCGAUCCACUCUGACCAUCGUUAGUCCACCUCAUACCUCACCGACAAAUGCAUCUCCACAUUUUGUGCCUCCACCGUGCACAGAUCCUUGUGACGAAAGUCACCCCAAAUCAGUAACUUUUUUGUCAACUUGCUUUCAGUCCAGUGGCCGAACCUUGAGAGGUCGAAUACUUUUGACUUUCAGCCUAGACUCGAAGACCUCGAGACCUCUUCUCGAGGUUUGAACUCAAUCGGAUAGUUCCAUCUCUAAUUCGCACCUAAAACAUAGUCAGAUCUGCCUGCACAUCGAGAAUUUGUGAAUUUCUCUUUUGACCGGCAGUUAUAAUAAUCUCCAUAUUUUGAAUAUGACGGUAAUUCGGUUAUGAUAUAAAUUUGAUGGUAUAGGAAAAAGAGAGAACCGCAUCUUGGCAUCUUUCUUUGCAACUCCUCAGUCAAACUCUCCGGACAGGAUAAGCAAAUAGUCUCGAUAUCAGUUAAAAGGUCUCACAUAGAAAUAGAGAUAAUUGAGGAAGCACAAUGAUAAGUUCUCAUAAAAACACCAGUACCUUGUUUUCUUUAUUAUUAAUAAUAUAAAUACCAAAAAUAAGUUAUUAAUAUAAAAGCCAAAAAAAAAAAAAAAAAAAACAGAGCGAGAGCACUAAAAUGACUACAUCAAAAUAUAUAUAUAUUAUAUAUAUAUAUAUAUAUAUAUAUAUUAUAUAUUAUAUAUAUAUAUAUGCCUUAUUUGCUCAUAAAAAUUUAUUUAUUUUGCGUUUUGCAAAAUCGGGCCACCUUUUUUAUUUUUCAGAUUCGGUCCGCUUUUUCAGCAAACUGCCAAAAUAUCCUUAUACAUUUUUCUCUCUUCUUUUUUUUUUUUUAUUUUUCGUUCCUUUUUCUUUCUUUCCCAGAGUGUCGUCGUCCUGCCCGUGCUCGCCGCCUCGUCGCCGAGGGCUCCAUGGACACCGCCCGCGCCGUGCUGGAGCGGAGCGACCCGGAGUGGCGCCCGGCCGACGCCGUCGACGCGUCGGCGAGGGCCGUGGACGCGGCAGCGGCGCACGGCGGGGGAGGGCGGGCGAGGGCGGAGGCCGGGCAGGCUGGCCGCGGCACGCGGAUCCGCGGGCUUGAAGACGCCGCGCGUGGAGUUUCACCCUGUCGCUCGUCUCCACCGUCGACGACGCCAAUGGGCGCGAGCUCGGAGGAGCUAAGGAAGCUCCACGCGCCCAGGGCGGGCCGGCACGGCUGGAGGAGGCGGCCGCAGGGCGGAGCGAGAAGAGAAGCAGAGAGAGAGCAGAGAGAGAAGCAGCAGAGGAGUUAAAAGAAAAAAAAGAGGAGAGAGAGAGGCAGAGAGAGAAAGCAGAGAAGAAGAAGGAGAAGAAGUGUUAAAAAAAGGGUGAAAAAUAGUGUAAUGGUGUAAAAUGGAAUAAUAGUGUAAUGUACAAAAUUGUAAUGGUGUAAUGGUGCAAAAUAGUGUAAUGGUGUAAUGGUGUAAUAGUGCAAAUGGUGUAAUGGUGUAAUGGUGCAAUAUUAUAUGGUAUAAUGGUAUCAAAGAGUGUAAUGUGUAAUGGUCCAGAUUGCACCAUUAGGUCCAGAUUGCACCAUUUAAAAAAUUUUUACACUAUUUUUUUUUCCUCUUUCUUUCUUUUUCUUCUUCUUCCUCUAGAUUGCACCAUUAGCUUUUUUUUUUCCUUCUUCUUCUCCUUUCUUCUUCUUCUUCUUCUUUUUCGACGGAGGGUCGGAUCGGCGGUGGGGACGUAGGGGGAGACGGAUCGGGAGCCACGAGGCGCAGUAGAGACGAUGGGCGAUGGGGCUUCAAGUGCGCGCGGCUCGGGCGGGGGGCCUUGUGUCGUCGUCGUCACGGGCAACUAGUCGGAACGCGUAGGAACGCGCGGCGCGGCGCCUAGUAGGAACGCGCGGCGCCAGCCGGCGCGGCGGUGGUCGGGUCUGGGUCGGCGCGGGGGAGGUCGACGAGGAAGUAGACGCUUCCCCGCUUGAGCGGCGCGUCGGGGGUCGAGCGGUCAGGCCCGAAGUCCGACCGCGCUCUGCUCGGACCUCGAGCACGGCGAAUCCCGGCUGGUCUCGGAGGUCAACGUCGGGCCGCGAACUCCAGCAACAGCUGACGAGGUCCGCGGGCCCUGCGCGAUGCCGAGUGCAGCAGGCCGACCGGACGAGUCGACGCGUCGGCCGGCCCAUCCGGGUCGCUCCGCUCCAGCACGGCUGGCGGGCGGCCGUCCAUGAAAAAGAAAGAAAAAAGAACGAGAAAAAAAAGAGAGAGAGAAAGAGAAAGAGAAAAAUAGUAUAAGUAUUUGGUCGGUGCUGAAAAACGCGACCGAAUCUGCAAAAAACGAGAAGGUGGCCGAUUUGCAAAAGCCCAAAUAAUAAGUCGAUUUUUUUAUGCCAAAAGGCCUCUAUAUAGUAUAUAUAGUAUGAUAGAUAUAUNNNNNNNNNNNNNNNNNNNNNNNNNAAAAGAGAGAGAUCCGACCACUACAGUUGAAUAUAUUCGCCAAUUAACGAUAUUCGUAACAUGCUGCAGUUGAUUUUUGCGUACAGAUUUCAACUGCAAUAUUGAAAUUCAAAUCAUAAAAUUAAACACGAACUUAAAUUACUAUAUAAUUAACAACUGCAAUGGCGUGAAAACGAACAACAGCCAAGAUGAAAAUACCUUGCGCCUCCUAGUUCCCCACCAACUUUCACUCAAAAAACUUUUCUACUUGAUCCAAUCGUUUGUAAAUUCUAAUAAAAUAUAUUUCUAUUAUAGAAAUAAUAAUUGUAUAUAAUAGAUCAUUGCAUCUUAUGAUCUAAACAUAAAUGGCAUAUAUAGACACUUUGUUAAGUACCAUUUAUGCUUUUUUUUUUCUCUAUAUGCGAAUUGGCCAUUGAGAUGAAUUAGCUUAGGCAAUAAAUUUUAAGCCACAACAAUAAGACUAAAAAAAAUAUAAAUAUAUAUGACUAAAUGACUACUUUUAAGAGAAUAAAGAUAGAUUAAAAGUGGGAACGUGACACACAUGUGCAAUAAAUAUAUACUCAAGGUAAAUAAUAAGCAGUACCACAUCAUUCUAUUGUAAUAGAAAAAAUAAAAAUAUUAAUUGCAAUAGAAAAUCACUACCACGCAACCUUUUUUUGUACACAUCCACAGGAAUAUAAUUUAUGUAAUGUAAUAAUUUUUAUUAGAAUAAAUAUGUAACUCUAGUUUGAUAAAAUUAAAAAACAAAAAACAAAUUUAUUGUAGUUUUGCACUUUUGUCCCAAUCUCAAUUAACGCUGUUAUGUUAAUUACACUAAUUAUCACUCUACAACUUGUCACCUGUCAAAUAACCAAAAUUUAACAAAAUAUAAACUUAUGCAUAAAGUUCAUUAAAUGAGUUAGUUAUCACAUUAUUUACAUCUCACAUAUAAUAUAUUAAUUGUAACUAAACAAUAUAAAAGAAUUUAACUAUCAAUUGAUAUGAUUCUAUUGCAUUACUUAUAUAGAUAAUUUUAUUUGCAAAAGUAUUAUUAGAAGUUAGAUCAUUACACACAAACAGUCAUAAGCGACACUUUUAAAUGUAGGUAUCAUGUCAAAAAAAUGCUGCUUACCUAAAAUUACCGGAUACUAUUUAAAAAUGUUUGCUAUAAUGUGGGUCCACUAGAUAUAGUAGACUAGUUAAAGAUGUCGCUAUACACCUAAACAGAGUGCUAGUAAUUACCAAACACUUAUUUAAACAUUUAGCUCAACCGCCAAAAACUCUAUCACGUUGGCUGCGGUGGUCGGAGGAGAGACGAAACAGGAAAGGCUCUUCGUCUAGAAUUUCAAAGGGUGAUUAGUGAGAGAAGAAAAAGAUGGUAAAUAAUGAAACUCUUUUUCAAAAAAAAAAAAAAAAAAAAACAUUAUAGAGAGAACGAGGGGAAAGAAACUGAAAGAGUACGUAGUAUAAGUUUGAUUACACUCUUUUCUUAAAAAAUGUAUAUAUAUAUAUAUAUAUAUAUAACCGAGAGAAUGAAGAUUAAUUGUGGGCCUUAUAAAAUAGUAUAUGACUCAUAUUCUAUACACCUUGCUGUUGCUAUACCAUCAUAGAUGGAGUCGUAAAUCAUUCAAUGGAACAAAAUAGGGCAGUGGUGAAUCAAUGCCGCAGUUACUUCUCAGUACCCUCUAAUCUUCAUUUCGUCAUUUGGUACAAAUAAACAAAAGAAGAGACAACUGAACUGGCAAAAGCAAAUUUAACUAUUAUUAUUUAAUAAAAUUUAAAAUGAAUACAGCAAUUUAACAAUGACAGAAUUAAAGGAGAGCAUGACAUGCAACUUUAUUAUAUUAUUAUGUUACAGCUUUGCAACAAAGGAACAAUUAACGUUAAACUCCUCAAAAAUGUUCAGUCGGCAUCGAAAUCGUCAGUCUUGAUUCAAUUUCAAUUGCUUCAUCGCCUUGCGGGUCGGUGUGGCUUGUUCUGCUGACUCUUUCCUGCUGAACUCAACGAACCGAGUGGGGGAAAAUCUUCCGAAGAGAAGGGGCUGUCGCGAGUCCACUUCUUGCCCUCCGAGCUUUGCUCCUCUCUGGGUUCGGCUCGGGGCGGCGGAGUCGAUGCUGGUUGCGCUUGGGCCAACGGCGUGGACGCUGGUCGGGGUUGGGCCCGCGAGCUUACUAACUCGUUCACCGGAGCUGGCAUCGGAGGGUACCGGAGGGGUCGAAGAUUCUGUAGUUCGGGAUCAGGAAUGAAUCUGUAGGGAAGCUUGCGGUCCUCCAUUUUUCUGAAAGUAAUUGAGAUCCUGUUUGAAGAAUUGAAGAAUUAAGAUAAAAGAAGAGGAUAGUUAGAUAUUAAUAGCAAUAAGAAAACCAAAAUAACAGCAGAGAUAAAGUCGUAAAAUUUGAUAUAAAAACUCAGUGGAUCAUAUUGUUUCGAUGCGUUACCUCUUGGUGGGCACAGCAGGUACACAAUGCUUAGCUACAUCUGCACCAUUACCAUUCAAAACAAGCACCGACCUGCAAGUUAAUUCGGUUAUAAUUAGAGUCAAUCCCAAAACUGAAGUACCUUGUAGUUAGAUAACAAUAGGUAGGGAGAAAGAAAGAAUACGAUUUCUUUGACAAAUACAGUCGAUCGCCAAAAGUAUGUAUGACAGAAAACUGAGCGCAUUUGAUUGCCAGAGUUGUAGCUUUCCUACGUAAAAUAUGUUAAAACUAGUAUAAAAUAAUAUUGAGGAUCCAAAUUUUCUCCCUAAAACUGACAACUAGUCGAAUCGUUCAAAAACUACAUCCUGGGGCAUUUGACUUUUCUCAGUACUAAUUUCUAAGUGCCUUUCAUGGAGUUGAUAUAACCAUUCCACGAAGCUUUUUAUACCCGCAAUGUACGAUUUGUUGGUUAUGUCUAGUACAUCUGACUACAUAUAAAGAACAAAGUAUGAGAAAACUUUAUAAUCCAGCUGCAGAGCUAGACCUAUUACACCCUUUCAGUUGAAAUGCUAGUUUCCUGAAAUGUACAGAUAGUUCUACUACGACAAGUCAGUACCUAAUGCUUUUAGAAUACACAUACAGCAAAUGAAGGUUAAGUAUAAAUAUCUAAUACUAUAACUCUUUAGAUAGAUACACCAGGGGCGCAUUUCAAAAGCAAUUGUUUGAAAAGUGUGCCGCAUAUCUAGGAAAGCAUGCAGAAAAUUGAUGAAUUGCCACAACAUGCAAAAAAAUUACAAUAAUACACAAGAGAGACCUCAGAAGCUGCUUAAUCAAGCAAAAGUAAAAAAGAAGUGUUGAGAAAGUUUUUUUUUUUUUUUUUUAAAAAAAAAAAAAGAAAAAAAAGAAGAGCACAAGGCCAAAGCAUAAGUAAACUCAUAUAUAACAUUCAAACUAGAAUUAAAUACCAAAAAAGUGAACCUCAAAUAAUUUGAAAACAAUAAGUUAAUCCAAACCAGCAAAUUUCAAUGUUGAAAAAUGUAAAUGAAGAUAAACCUCUGUCAAUGAUUAACAUACCCGACCGGUAAAGGAAUGGAAGUAGGGGCUGCAAACACUCCUGGCGAGACUACUUUGAUGUGGGUUCCAAAGAGAAUGUUGCACUGGGAGAGGAAGGAAACUGUGCAAAAGGGUCGAACGAAAUCGUGGUGGUCGAUAUGAGGAGGGAUGCAGUCAUCUUCAUCAUAGAUGUUUAUGAUGCAACUGUUGGGGACACACGUUGGCGGGAGCACGUGCCACGCCACCAUCCUCUUAAUCAUAGUCUUCAGUAUCGGAGGCAUUGGAUCGACUUCCUCGUCCCGCAUUAUUCCUGGAAGGUUCCCAUUGUUGUCCUGAAUAAUAACAAGGUUCAUUAUCAAUACAAAAGAACAACUAAACAAGAGAAGCAAAAGAACAAAAAUAAAUAUUGAAACUACGGUAUGUAUUAAUUUACCUUUGCAUAGUUGUAGCAACAACCGAAUUGUAUAGUCACGCGCCCUUUUCCACGCAUCCACUUCUUUGGCUCUGAAUAAGUGCGCUCUGUAAAGAAGAAAAGCUGUUAGCGAACCGAUAGAGAAAAAUCAAAAUAUAUACAUAAACAAUGUGAGAAAGAAUAUAGCAACCGAUUUCCAAAAGGAAACCAUAGUGCAAAAAAACAAGGAAAGCAGUAAGGGUGGUAUUCACACUACAUUCAUCAAAAGCGGAAAGUGAAGCAGACCAUGUACUUAUACCCAUAUUUUCAUCAAGUGCAGUAAAGGAACACAAUUGACGUAUAUUCAAUAACGGAAAAAAAAAAAGAGCACAUAUAGCAUUUAGCAAGGCAAUGACGACGUUAUUGAUUGUAUCUAUGCUUAUAUUUUCAUCAGGUGCAGUGAAAAAAAAAGAAACACAAUUUACAUACAUUCAAUAAGAGAAAAGAAAUAGGAAGCAUCUAUAACAUUUAACAGGCAAACGACGGCGACACGACAGCAACAGCGGCUCCAUACAGCAUAGAAUUCAUCGGAAAGAUCCGGAAUUUUCUAUCGAAUUGGAACUGCGCUGCAUGCGGGCAGAACUGAACUUAAAACUGAUUCUGGCUUCCGCAGAAUCAGUGAGGCCAAAAAAUUUUCCCCCUGUUCUUUUCUUGGAUCAGAACCCGUGCACCAUUACAUUACCCCAAGAACAAGGUUAUGAAUAUUAUGUUUUUUUUUUUUUUUUUCUGAUCUUUUUUUCUUUUUCCCGCCACUUUUACUUUCUUGAAUUAAAAGAAAGAAAAGGAAAGAAGAAGAUCCUUGUACCUCGGAGCAAUCCACUCCUUCCUCGGUCCUGGAAAUCCAAGACGCAGUCGACGAUCCUCUGCUGCUCGGCAGCGGAGAAGACCCCCUCGUGGAGCUCGAGGCCUUGGAGGACGUUGACCCACCUCCCCCCACCGAUCCUCUCCAUGUGCUUAAAAUCCUUCUUCCUCUUCACCAGCGACAACCUUAUGGCCUCCUGCCCCUGCUCCUUCUCCUCCUCCUGCUGCGUGCGAUGGCGACUCCCGUCUCCGUCGCCGCCGACCUUGUCUCCGCCACCUCCCGCCGUCCGAACCUUCUCCAUGAUCGGCUCUUCGAACAGAAGAGAAGAAGCAGAUGAAGAAAAGGAGGAAGAGGAAGAAGAUUUACCUAGAAGCAAGAAAACCAACCAGCGGUGCCGAUCAAUACAAAUUACAAGAAGCAACUAGUAAGGGAAAACAUAAAAGAAAGGAGGAAAGGAAGGAAAAUCCCUAAUGAGAACUUUUUUCACAAGUACUAGGAGAAUACAGAUACUACGUACGGCUGUGAUAUUAGACGCGAUCUCUCUCUCUUCUUCACCUUCUUUUUCUUGUUUCUUCCUUCACUGCCGCUUCUCUCUGUUGCAAUCUUGAUCUCGCUCUCUCUUUCCCUCUGCGUUUCCCUCUCUCUCUCUCUCUCUCUCUCUCUCUCUCUCUCCGCUUGUGCUAUCGUAUAUUUAUAGACACGAGAGACCCGGAAAGCAUGGCUGCGCCGAAUCUAUCGAGGACAUAUAUAGAUUCCUAGUCCGACUAGGAUUUGGUUCUAAAUCUCCCUCUCUCUCUCUAUAUAUAUAGCUACUAGUUAAGGAACCAUGCUACGCGACUAAUUAUUUUAGUUUUUUAUAAAUAAUUAAUAAAUAAUAAAAACAACAAUAAUUUAUCCUUAAUGCGCAUGUAAAAAACUGCUUAAUCUAAAUUUUUUUUAAAGGUAUAAUUAAUUACUAAUAUAAUUAAAGAUCUAAAGGAGAGAAAAAAUAUUACAUAUUAUAUAUUUUAUAUAAAAUAAUUGGAAUAUAUAAAUAUAUUUUAUAUUACCUGUAUCUACAACAGAAUUCAUACUCAUUUAGCUUAUGUUGUUUUUGGAAUUUACUGUAAACCGAAAUCGAAUCCAGACCCGUUUAGCUAACAUAAACCCGAUCCAUUCCGCUUCAGCUUCGAAUAAUAUUUCGAAUAUUGCCACUUUUCUGAGAUUCCGUAUACUCAUUUAUGCCUAAAUUUUAAAUAUUUUAAAAUAUAACACUUUCUUUAUUUCAGUAUCGAAUAAUUUAAUCAUUUAAAAUUAAAGGAUAACAAAAAAUUAUAACUCAAGUACAUUUAUUUCUAAAAAUUAAUUAAAUCCCAAAAAAAUUUUCACAAAGGAAAAAAUAUUAAUGUAGAGUUUUAAUAGAGCGUUAAACAUAUUUCCGUAUCCUAUUUUUUCCGCUUAGAAAAAAAAAAGCCACCCCUCGCACCCGAUCGCCCACCCGCAAAAUAAAAAACACUUUAUUUUAAUAAUCAUUUAGAUAUAAAUAUUUCAGUUGAAAAUAUACAACACUUUCUUUAUUUCGGUAGCAAAUAAUUAAAUAAGUUAAAAUUAAAAGAUAAAAAAAAAACUAUAACUCAAGUAUAUUUAUUUCUAAAAAUUAAUUAAAUCUCAAAAAAAUUUCGCGAAAGGGGAAAAAAAAUGUAGAAUUUUAGCAGAGAGUUAAAUAUAUUCCCGCAUCUUAUUUUUGCCACUUAGAAAAAAAAUGUCCACUGCUUGCCGCACCCGAUCACCCACCUGCAAAAUAAAAAACACUACAAUAUAAUUUAUUUUAAAAAAAGUAAUUAAAAAAUUACAUAAAAUAUACUCGAAUAAUUAUUUUUUUCUUAAAAGUAUGGAAUCACUAAUCUUUCUAUUUUAAUCUUUUAUUAUUAUUAUCAAAAAAUAUAUAUUUUAUUUUAAAAUUAAUUAUAAGAAGAAAAAAAGGGCCAACAAAUACAACAAAAUCCUAAGGCUGAGUUGGAAAAGGGAGAAAAAUAUACCAAAAACCAAUUAGAAAGGAUUGGGCCCCACAGCAAAAAGCAAGGGAAAAAAAAAAACAAAACCGUGCGGGUUACUCUCUUGUAAAAGAAAAGCCAGGUAUAAUUUUUUUUUUUUAAUUUAGUAAAUCUUAUUGUAUACAUAUUUUUUGUUUUGAUUUUUCUUUUUUUUUUNCCCCGCGCCUGUCACGCCCCGGGACCGGCGGAGGCCCUCCCGGUAGAAUGCCCAGACCCGCCAUAUGCCUGCACAUAUAAAGCGUCUACAACAAUAGCAAUGAAUAAAGAAAAGAUAAUAAAUAUCGAGGGAUAUCAGAAUAUGUGUACAUCUAACAUCUAUAAACAAGUAGAAGCAGUAAAACUAUCAACUGAGAUAAAACAUAGGGUGAAUAUAUCAAACUGUCUCAAAAGUAAAUACUACAAUAUCCAAAAUGAUAGUCUCUAUGUAGGGUACAAACGCUCUCAUUCUCUCCAACUAAAAUAAAAAGGAGAAAAUGAUCCACCUAGCAAGACCCCUCGCUCGUUAGCUCAAAGCGACACCCUUGUCGCGAUCCAUAGCCUCUCCUGGAGUGGAAGGCUCUGAAAGAAAAUAUAAAACAGGAGGCGUGAGAACUAUAAUUUAUAGUUUCCAGUAGGCAAUUACUGAUCCGAGCAAAAUGCACCACUAGGCCCAAAAGCAUAAGUAGAUAAAAGAACUACUAGUAAGCUGCGAUAUGUAAAGCAUAUAAUGAAAUACUGAACAACAAUGCCCACAAAUACACAUAAUGUCAACUAGGUGUACAUCUACUCCAUCAUAGUCCGAUAUGCCAAUACAUGACUAAUAUGUCCCAACAUAGCAAACAAGUAUGCUAUAAUGCAAUAAGCAAUACUUUCAAGUACACUACAUGUCCAAAUACCCAAUAAAUCCAACUACUAUGAACUGUCUAGUAGUGAUUAUUACUUAUAUGACUCCGUGUCGAUUUUCAUUUCCAAUUAAGGACCUACACAAGGUAGUCCGGCUUGUGCCGCCUAAGUGCCCGUAGUAGCUCCAGCAUUCCUACUCGAGGAAUGAGUCUAUCCCGCCAGGCCCCCGUAGGCUUCUCAAUACCGCACGAGGGAUCAUAAGUCGCGUAGGCUAACUCUAGAGUGCCAGCUCGUAGGGAGUGACCCUCACAAGUAUGUGCGAAUGAGCACAAAUGGCAAGCAAGCAUAGUUAUCGUCUCAAGAACCCGAUCAUCAUGUCUCUAACAUGGUAAUAGCCACUAGCAACCUAACGGUUUAGUUCUAUGUCUCAAUGUGAAGUUCCGAUAUUCACUAAGUCUAGUGCCUCUUUAUGACACUAGCACAUUGCUAUACCCAAGCUUAUUUCAAAUUCAAUGCCUCUUCGUGGCAUUAAUUACUAGGUUCACACAUAACCCAAGCUCAAUAUCGCUUUAUGAUAUUAGCUCACUAAUUCACAUAUCAUUCUAGUCUAAUGCCUCUUUAUAGCAUUUUACUUGCUCUUAUGUCCAACAUGAGAAUUAUAUCCAAUAGUACAUUACACUUAUCAUUUUUACUAUAUGAAACAUGAUCUUGAGUCAUAUCUAGAAUGCUAGUCACAUGCAUAAGCCAAACCUAAAAACCCUCUACUACAUAGGGGUCUAAAUAUACAUUGUAUAUAAUAUAUGCAUUCUAAGCAUUCUAAAAUUUACAAAUAAUGCAUCUAACACAAAUAUGCAUGAAAUUCCACUUUACGACGAGUAAAACCACCAUAGAGGAAAUUUUAUCGCAUUUGAUGAGGCCAAACCCACCUAGAGCUCCUCGGAACCCUUCGUUUCGCCGAACGAAGUUGCCCACAACUCUCCUAAUACCCUAAAGGUAGGAAAAGGAGAGUUACACGAACGUUACGAACAAUACAUAGGUCGAUCUUUAACCAAAUCACAAAACGGGGCAAAACUCACCUAAGGUGGUGAUAGUCUCUCUCGAUCUCCAAAUGGGAGCUAGAACCCUUCCAAUCCAACCUAGAGAAAGGUUCUAACCCAAAAAAUCAAGCUCCAAAAGCCCUAAGUCCAAAACCCCCAAAUAAACCCUAAGUUUUCAUUUCUAGGGUUUCAACUAAAAUAAACCAUCAAAGCUUGAAUCUAGAGGAAGAAACAAGUUGCUAACCUCUUAGAAGCUUCUUUCAAGGAUCAAAGUCCACGAGAUUUGAAGAUCUCUCUCCUAUCAAGCUCCAAGCUCGAAGUCCAAGCUUCUCCCAAGGUGGAAAUUGCACCAAGAAGAAAAAGAAUGGAUUAAUCCACCAAAAUCCAUGCAAAAUGGAAUAUAAAUCCAAAAAAGGGAAGAGAGGAGGUCCCCUACCUUGCUCUGUAGUGUUUCCAAGCUCAGGAAACCAACAAGGGGCGUGGGAUGCAAUAUAGAGUAGCAAUAAUAGCAAUAACACCCCUCAAAAGCUGUCAAUUUGCAGUUUGGCAAAGUGUACCGGCACACGAAAAAGUGUACCGGUACAACUCCUCCGAAUGCGCAAACCCGAGCCUCGGGUUGGCCAUUAACCACAUGUGUACCGGUACAACCAUCAAGGUGUAACCGGUAUACUUUCUGUACUGGUAUAACCAUCAAGGUGUACCGGUACACAAUCCUGCAGAAAGCAACCCGAGAGAAGCCUAAGUCUCCACUUUGGUGACCUUAGCGCUACUUUAAAUACCUCAAUUCUCAGAAUAUGAACCAUAGGUCGGAGCAUUAUCAACGACCCUUCAGAAUACCAAGAAAAACUCAGAACACAGAUCAAACAUUCGAACCUCGCAAUUUACUAAGGUCCAGUGUGUUACAUUCACCCCUCCUAAAAAGGAGUUUCGUCCGCGAAACUUAAAAACAUAAUACCUCAAGACUCCAUCUAAAAAUGAUGGGGGUAGCGCUCCUGCAGUGCGCUCUCCAGCUCCCACGCGGCCUCCCGCUCAUCGUGGUUGCUCCAAAGCACCUUCACAUACGGAAUGUCGCGGUUCCGUAGCUUUUCACCUCGCGAGCCAAAAUCCUCAUAGGUCGCUCCUCGAAGCUCAAAUCAUCCCUCAGCUCCAACGGUGUAGCAUUCAAUACAUGAGCCGAAUUAUGGAUGUACUUCCGAAGGACCAAUACAUGAAAAACAUUAUGUAUGCCCGAUAGGUUUGGCGGUAAAGUAAGCCGAUACGCUACCGGACCUACACGCUUCAAAAUCUCAUACAGUCCAAUGAAUCGGAGGCUCAGCUUACCCGGGAUCCGAAAUCUCCUGAUCCCUCUGGUCGGCGAGACUUUCAAGAACACAUAAUCUCCAAUCUGAAACUCCAAGUCCCUUCGACGCUUGUCAGCAUAACUCUUUUGCCUACUCUGGGCUGUCAACAGUCGCUCCCGAGCAAUAUGAACCUUGUCCUCUACUUCCUGGAGCACAUCGGGGCCUAAAGCCAAUCUCUCCCCAACUUCACUCCAAUGAAGUGGCGAUCUACACUUUCGUCCAUAAAGUGUCUCGAAGGGUGCCAUCUUGAUGCUUGCUUGAUAACUAUUGUUAUAAGCAAACUCUGCCAUCGGUAGAUGCUGCGACCAUCCUCCCUGAAAGUCUAUCACACAGGCUCGAAGUAUAUCCUCAAGAGUUUGUAUAGUGCGCUCUAAUUGCCCGUCACUCUGAGGGUGGAAAGCUGUACUGAAAUACAAGCGCGUGUCCAAGGCAUCUUGUAAGCUUCUCUAAAAAUGAGAUACAUAACGGGGAUCUCGAUCCGAAACUAUAGAAGUAGGUACCCCGUGUAAUCGCACAAUCUCAUCAAGAUAUACCUAUGCGAAUCUCUCACCAGUCCAAGUAGUGUGAAUAGGUAUGAAAUGAGCCGAUUUCGUCAACCUAUCCACGAUCACCCAAAUAGCAUCAUGCCUGGCCUGUGAGGGAGGCAAUCCCAUCAUGAAGUCCAUGGUGAUCUUCUCCCACUUCCACACUGGAAUUGAUAAGCUCUGCAAUUUUCUCGCGGGAACUCGGUGCUCAGCUUUUACCUGUUGGCAAGUUAAACAUCUAGCAACAAACUCGCCAACAUCCUUUUUCAUCCCGGGCCACCAAUAAAGCAACUUUAAGUCCUUAUACAUCUUGGUGCCUCCCGGAUGUAUAACAUAGGGUACACGGUGUGCUUCUUGCAGAAUAUCCUCUCUAAGUGUCGAUUCCACCAGUACACAAAUCCGCACGCGGAAACACAUCAAUCCAAGAUCAUCCACGAUAAAAUCACCGGGGCAACCUUCAACGAUUUUAGCUUUAAUCUUUUGCAAUUUCACAUAGUGAAGUUGCUUUUUUUAAUCCUUUCCAAAUGUGUAGGUUGCACUACCAAAGUCAUCAACCUCAAAGGCGUGUCAGGAGUUACCACCUCCAACUCCAACCGCUUCAUCUGCUCGAUCAAUGGCGGUUGAGUAACCAUAAACAUCACUAAGUUUUUCGUCGAUUUCUGACUUAGCGUAUCAACCACCAUGUUAGCCUUGCCCGGGUGGUAAAGAAUCGUCAGAUUAUAAUCCUUGAGUAGCUCCAACAAUCUGCGCUGCCUCAAGUUCAACUCCUUCUGAGUAAAUAAGUACUUUAAGCUCUUGUGAUUCGUAUAUACUUCACAUCCCUCGCCAUAAAGAUAAUGGCGCCAUAGAUUCAAUGCAAAGACUACGUGUAAUAUACGAAAAAUUUCGGGUUGUGAUGCUAACUUUCAUCUGGAAGAUCAAAGUGAAGUUUGAAUUGGAUGUGUAUCAUUCUUGAGUGAUUUUGGACGUGUGGGAAUGAUUUCUGGAGGUAAUUGAGUAUUCGGGCACAAAUCGGGCGCGAAAUAAACUUGAAAGGGGAUUUUCGGAUUAUGACGCUAACUUUGGCCUAUGCGAUCAAAGAGAGGUAUGAAUGUUAAUUGUAGUACCUCCGAAUUAUUUUGGAAGUGCGAGGAUAGUUAAGGGCAGAUUUCAGAGAUGCUUGGAUGUAAAAUGUCGGAUUUUUAUUACAUUGCUAAUUUUGAUCAAAUUGAUCAAAGUAAGGCCAAAAUAAAAUUAGUUGCUUCCGAGCUUAAUUAGUAGCUUCGGCGUAGUGUUUUGUGUAUUUUGGAGGUGUUGGAGUGGACUUGGAGUGAAUUGGAUGCGCGGAGUAGGCUUCAAAUUGCUGCUGCCAGGUUAUUGUGUAGUGCAAGGACUGAAUUGCGAACCUGCAGGGACUGAAUUGUAAAUCUGCAGGUUGCAAUGCACUUUUGCAAUUUUCAGGGGCAAAACUGCAAUUUUUGGUCUUAUCCCUUUAACGCUGACGUUUAUCAUUUGUCUAGGGACCUAGCCUCCACUCCCCAGCCCUCUUUAACUUCUAAUUCUCCGUCACGUUCUCUCUCUAAAAUUUGGGUGAGGAUGGUGUAGUAGUGGCAGCUUGUGGGCUGAUGUUGUGAGGCCUAUCCGAGCAUAGGGACCAGCUGAGAAAGAGCUGGAGCUCAAGGUAAAUGAUAACUAGCUCAGUCCAAAUGAAGGUUAUGGCCUAAAAGAAGCUUUUGAAUAGUUAAAAUGAUAGGUGUAUGCAUAGAAAUUUCAGAAUAAGCUGAAAUAAGGAGAGGAAGCAUGCAACUGUUAGUGUUGGAGCGUUUGUUGAUCCGAACUGAAAGGAUGGCAGCAGGUGCAGAAAUUCUUGUGGCUAGAGUAUAUAAUUAAGGUAAGCUUGGGUUCAUGUUUGAUUAGAAGCCAGCUAGUUGCCUUAAGGAUAAUUUACCUAAGUGUUUCCUGCUGCGAGUGAUGGCAGAUUUGGACUCCGAACUAAUUGGAGCUGUCGAGUUGGAGAUUUAGCUGAAAGAAAUAAUUUGGAGCUGAGAAAUCUCUUGAGGAAGCUUCAAGUCCAGGUAAUUUUGAUACUUGAUUCCUGAUUUAAAUAUGGGUAACUGCUUCAAAGAGGAUUUUAAGUAAUUAAAGCUUAAGAGAGGAGUAGUUGGCAGAUUUUGAGAGAUGUGGGUUAUGAAGUGUAUUCAAGUAAGUAAACCUAGCUGGGGAAGUAAGUGAUUGCUUCUCAUCUAGGAUAAUUGCAAUUAUUUAAAGGAAACCCUUAAAUGGUGCAAUUGGGAUGUAUGCAGAUAUUCAAGUAGAAGGGUUGAGGAAGUUGCGUUGGUGAAUCUGGCGCCCACCUUGAAGAGGAUUGGUGGAACACUUGGGUAAUCCGAGCUGAGAAGAAAAUCUGGAGUAAUUCCAGCAGAGGAAAUCUAAAAAUUAGAGUAAGUAUUUUGCUUCUCUGUUAAACUUAGUAUAGUUACUCAGGAAAAAUGUUCUAACUGAGUUAAAUGAACAUAGGAUUACCAAGAAUUAAAGAGAAAUUGGGAAAGUAUUUCUUGAUAUUCUAAGUUGAGAGGAAACUCAGCUAAGUGUAGCUUGGAGAAUCUUUGAGGUCAGGUAGAAAUGAGGUUUAAUUCUAUUUUGAGUUAUAAUUGAUUAUUAGAGCAUUGAGACAAGGUAAAUUUGAAUCAAUUUUAAUUAAAGCUAACUGGAUUGAUGUAAAUUAUGAUGUAAAGAAAUGCUUGAUGUAGGAAAGUAGGAACAGAGGUAUUAAAGUACUAAAUCAUUUAGAUACUAUGAACCUUGAGAAACUAGUUCUAAAUAAAGAGAUGUAUAUAUAUAUAUAUAUAUAUAUAUGAUUAGUUGUUGGAAGACAAAAGCUAAGCUGAACCAUGCUAAACUCUUCUUCAAGUUGAUGUUAUUGUUCCCUGAUUCCUGAGUACUAAAGUUUAGAAUUGAUAAGAAGUUUAAUAAUGAAACUAUAUAUAUAUAUAUAUAUAUAUAUAUAUAUAUAUAUAUAUGAGGGCAGUAUAUACAUAUAUACGAGUAAGGGUUGAAAAGCAAGUUUUAUUAAAGUAUGAAUAUGACUCUAGUCUAACCUCUUUUAUUCUUCUAGAAAUGAAGGUUAGACAUGCUCGGAAGUCCAAAUUGACAUUCAGACAGAUUUGUGUAGCACUAAUUACGGUAGAAGCCGUUCUAGCCCUACUUGCGCCGAGUCGCAGGAGCUUGUUAUUGAUAUAGUUCGAGACGUUGGUUUCCGUUUAUUGGCAUCCCUACAGGUGGGUGGUGCUAUCCGAAAUCUUCGAAUCCCUCUUUAUGUCUAUGUCAUCUCAUUGAGCAUAUCUAUAUAUGUGAAUUGUAUCAUAUUCAUGCAUUAUAGGGAAAUCGUCAUUAUGCAAUUGAAUUUCUAUCAAGGUAAAGAACAUGUGGACAAUAGAAUAUGGACAUAGAACCCUAUGAAUGUGUGAAUGAGUAAAGGACUAUGACAAUAGUAAACUUGGUGACAUUAUGACUAGAGAUUUAGUUAUCAUCGACAUUUGAAUUAUAAAACUAGCAUAAAGAGCUAGUUAGAGUUAAAGUGUAGUAUUGUCUUUCAUUGGAUCUUCUAAAGGAAGAUCAGAUCAUACUCACAUCAGUUUUAUAUUCAAGAAAGGUCGAUCCUCCUUGAACGAUGAGCUCCAGAGUAGUCAUCUUAACUGGACCAGGAGCUAGCGUCUCCCCCAGUUGACAGUCCCGUCGGGAUGUAGCUUACCUCUCCUCGAUACUUGGGAUAUCGUCGGUGAGUUAUUGUUAACCAAAGGGUUAACCAGUUUGAUUGGGUAACAUCAUUAGAAGCAUGCAUGCAUAUUUAUCAGUUAUCAUAUAUUGUUUCUUUCAGCUUUGUACAGGCAUUGUAGUAGUUACAUGUUAUAGUUGGUUACUAUCUGUUUACUUUUCUUGCCUACAUAUGCCUGAAUAGACUUAGUGGGUGAGUCGGCGAGGUCGGCGGCCGAACCCACUGGAAACUUUUAGUAGUUCUCACACCACUAACCAUACAGGUUCUAGCUCAUGCGGGAUGAUCGAGGAUCGUGGUAUGGACAGCGUUCCAUAGAUAGUCGACAUCCAUUGAGUAUAGUUGUACCUUAUUUAUUUCAUUUAUUUAUAGUUGAUGAAAACAAAUGUAAAUUAUUCAUUGAGAGAUGGCAAUGUAUAUAUUGGAAAAAUGAAUGUAAUAAUUAUGUAAGCUUUGUGUUUGAUUUAAGGGAAUCAAGAUAUAAUGUAUGAAUGCUUUAGUUAUUUACUUUCACUUGCUUGUGUUGCUUGCCCUCGUGCAAGCCAUGUAUAUUGAAAUUUUUUCUGGGCAUUUCUUUAUACAUGUUUGUUGUUGUUGUUGACCCUUGGGCGAACAGAGGAGGUUCUGUUAGUUCGGCGUCUGUAUACGGGCCCAAAUCGACCAAAUUGGCGAUUGCGAGACGUGACACUACGGCCGCCAAUUCCAAAUCAUGUGUAGGAUAAUUCCUCUCUUAAUCCCUUAAUUAGCGAGAAGCAUACGCGAUCACUUUUCUGUCCAGCAUCAAAACACAGCCCAAUCCAUUAAAUGAAGCAUCGCUAUAAAUCACAUACCCUGCUCCAGCAAUUGGCAAGGUUAGGAUCGGGGCGGUCGUCAAUCUCUGCUUUAACUCUUGAAAGCUUCUUUCACACGCAUUGUUUCAAAUGAACUUGGUACCUUUAUGCGUGAGCCUCAUGAGGGGAGUAGGUAACUUUGCAAACCCCUCAACAAAUCGUUGGUAGUAGCCGGCCAAACCAAUAAAACUCCGUAUCUCGGUAACACUCGUCGGCUUCGGCCAAUCCUUGAUUGCCUCGAUCUUCCUAGGAUCCACGGCUAUGCCUGAUCCUGAAACCAAAUGGCCCAAAAAUGCCACCUCUCUAAGCCAAAACUUAUAUUUUUUCAACUUGGCAAAGAGCUUCUUUUCCCCAAGCACUUGAAGUACUAGUCUCAUGUGUUUCUCGUGAUCCGCAUCACUUCGGUAAUAGACCAAUAUGUCGUCGAUGAACACCACAACGAAUCUGUCUAGGUAAGGCUUAAAAACACGGUUCAUUAGAUCCAUAAAAGCUGCCGGGGCAUCAAUAAGCCCAAACGGCAUAACAGUAAACUCGUAAUGUCCAUACCGUGUUCUAAAAGCCAUCUUCGACACAUCCUCAGGCUUGAUUUUUAACUGGUGGUAUCCCGACUGAAAAUCGAUCUUGGAGUACACACUAGAUUCCUGGAGCUGAUAAAAAAGAUCAUCGAUCCUCGGCAACGGAUACUUGUUCUUAAUCGUGACUUUAUUAAGUUUACGAUAAUCCACGCACAAGCGAAGUGAUCAGUCAUUUUUCUUAACAAAUAGAACCGGUGCUCUCCAAGGUGAAACUGUAAGGAAGUGAAUUCUCAAAAUCCGAGGAUUAGACUUUGUUUAGAAUCGACCAAUUGUCAAGUGUGUAGGCUUCAGAGAGUCCGAAGAUGAUUAAAAUGCAUAAAGUGCAUUAAGGAAGAGUCCGCGAGAGCAUCAGUGCAAAAUCUGCACUAGAGAAGAAUUUGCUCUCGGGGACCGGUCCCUGGCAGGGAGGGAUCGGUCCCAUCGGCUGGUGUGGCGGGGAUCCUUGAUGCAACCGGUCCCUUGCAAGGAGGGACCGGUCCCCAAACGUUAACCCAGCGAGAAAAGCCAAAAUUUGGCUAAGUUUCGAAAAUCCAACUCUCGGGAAUCGGUCUCUGUCAUACCACGGGACUCAGCGGAAGCCCGCCCGGCACGUGCACAGACCCGCCAUACGUCUAAAAUAUAUAAGGCGUCUAAAACAAAACGAUAAAUGAGACAAUAAAAGAAAGCAUCUAGAAGUAUCAGAGUAAUACACAUCAUCUAGUGACUAAAGCAAUGGAAAGAGUAGAGAGCUAAAAUAAAUAAAUAACCCAUAAAGUAGUACAACCAAAGAUCCAAAAGGUACAAUAUAUCACCAGUAAUCCAAUCCUAUGGAAGCUACCCGUAGGUAGUCCGACCUGCGUCGUGCCAACAAUGGCCCCGUGGUAGUCAACAUCCCCACUCUAGGAAUGAGCCUCCCCCACGGCAUCCUAUUUUGGCGCCCAAUCCCGCACGGACGAGCAUAUGUCGCGAUGGCUAUCUCCGGAGUGCCGACUUGUAAGGAGCGACCCUCAUAAGUAUGUGCGAAUGAGCACAAUUGCAUGCAAGCAAAUAAGUCCGUCCAAAGUCCCAGUGGUUCAUCACUGUUUCAUUGAAUUAAAAAUCCGGAAUACAGCACAUGUCCCAAAGGCCUGCCUCUAUGUCAUCGUGUCUAAAACACGAAAUAUAGUAACUGUCUCAAUGGCCUAUCUCUAUGUCGUCAUGUCUAAAACAUGGAAUAUAGUAGAUGCCUAUCAUCAUGUCUAUAAGUUGUAGUUCAACAAUUUUCUAGUUCAAAUGCCCCUUUAUGACACUUUUGCUUACUAUGUCCCAAUAUGAAUAAUAAGUCUAAAAGCUUGUCAUUCUAAUCAUUUUCCACACAAGAAAUAUGAUCUUACAUCAUUCAUUAGAACAUUAAACUCAUGCAUGCUCACAAUGCAUAUGCUUCUCUCUACAACAUAGAGUCAAUUUUUCAUGAUGCAUAACAUAGGGGUUUUAAGCGUUCUAAAAUUCAUAUAAAUUCUAUUAAACAUGGAUAUACAUGCAUUUAUAUUAUACGAAAAUAUUUAACCACGUAGGAGGCAUUUCCCCCUAUUUCAAUGAAGCCAAACCCACCAAAGUCUUCGCGGCGCGUCGUAACCUCCGAUGAAGUUGCCCACUACUCUCCUAGCACCCUCAAGGUAUAGAAAUGAGAGUUAAACGGACCCUACGAACAAAGCUAAGCUCAAACAUUAAGCUAUCCAAGCUAAGGUGGAGAAAUCUCACCGUACACGAAGGAAUCUCUCUCGAUCUCCAAAAGGGAGCUAAAGUCCUUCAAAUCCAACCUAAAUCAAAGUUCUAAACCAAUCAAUUUGGUUCUAGAAGCUACAAAUCCAAAAUCCCUAUUUCUAACCCUAAAAUUCAAAAUCUAGGGUUUCAUCAUGUGAAAUCUACUAAAACAUGAUCUAAAGGAGAGAUCAAGCAUACUCACCUCUCUUGAUGUCCCAAACCUAGCUAGGAAGGUGCUAGGGUUGAAGUUCUCCCUCCAAACAAGCUCCAACAAAAACCUCCAAGCUUCUCCAAUGGAGGAAAUCCAACAUGAGGCAAGGAGAAGGAGAAAAGAGAGAUCAAAACCAUAAAAACCAAGCCAAAAUGGGGUAAAAUCCAAAGAAGAGGCCCUCACCUGGUUCCUCCACGAAUUAGAGCUCAAAAGGGCUCUCUAAGGGGGUUGGGGUCACCUAUAUAGGUAUUGUAACAAUUGCAAAAACACCCCUGCCCGAAAAUUGCUCGCACUACACUGUGUACCGGUACACGGGCUCGCGUACCGGUACAACACCUGUGAAACAACCAAACCCGAGCCUCGGGUUUGCACGAAAUCCGUCUGUGUACCGGUACACCAGCCUUGUACCGGUACAGCCAUCAGCGCGUACCGGUACACAGCCCUGCUGAGGCUACUCGAGAGCUGACCAAAAAUCCGACUUUUCGGGUUUUGGUGCUAAGUUUUAAACCUCCAAUCUCGGGGUUCGAACCAUGGGUCGGAACACUAUCCACGACCCUCCACGAAGUGUGGAAAAGUUCGGAACACAAAUCAAACACUCGAACCUCACUAUUUGCGACGGUUCAGUGUGUUACAGUCUCUCAGGCAAGGACCGGUCUCCCUGGGACCUGCCUCUCAGGCUGAGACCGGUUCCCGAACGCAAAAUUCCCUCUGCCUGAAUGGGAGGCUCUCCGGGACCGGUCUCCCCGACCUAGGACCGGUCCCUCACUGCGGGAAAUGCCCAGGCAGAGCUGUUUUAUAGAUAGAAAGUUGAGGGGCUUAUUUGCAAAAUAGCCUAUAUGAGAGGCUAGGGGACCACUCCUCACCCUCACUCUCUCAUUUCCCUCUCCCACACUCUCACCCUUUUCUCCCUCUCUCUCUCUAGAAAGAAAAGAAUGAGAGGAAGAAGAAGAAGGAGAAGAAGAGAAAGAGGAAGGAGAAGACUAAGAAGAAGAAGAAAAGGAUCAUCUUCUUCUCUCUCUCUCUCUCCCUCAAGCUUGGAGCUUGGUUUUGAGGUAAGCCCUCAACCCUACCAUGGUAGAUUUCUUGAGUUAGGGUUUUAUAGGUUGGAAAUGGUUCGAAUGGAACCUAUUGAAGGUAAGGAGAUGGUUCGAGCUCGAAUUUGAAGCUUUAACCACCGAUUCCUCCAUUGUUGCCAACCUAGGGCACGGAUUUGGAAUUUUUAGAAAUCUAGGGUUUUGAUCUCGUUUAAUGGGUCGUUAACCUAAUUGCUACGUCUUCGAACACGUAGGCAAAGACGGUUCGUCGAUACGACGAGCGAGUGUGAAGAUAUCGCCGAAAUGAUUACUUGAGGGUUCGUGUCGACCCGAGGAGUUGAAGCGACGUACGAGGAACGCGGCGUCGAGUUUACUAGCUACACGGCACUACCAAAAGGUGGGGUGUGCCAUCCCGAAGCAGUUGAACUGCUCCCUAUGUCUAAGUCAUCAUGUUCAUCAAGUGCAUAUUGUAUUAUUGCAUUAUAAGGUGCUGAAUGUAAUUGUUACAUUUUAUUGCAUGCUAGAGUUAGCUUAGCUUUGUGGAUAUAGCGUUGAACCUAGUAUGCAUGAGUUGAACAAGAGAUAGUUAACCCUAUAUGUGAUGAACGUGUUAUGUGAAUGAGAACCUAGUAUGGAUUGAAUAGUAUAUGAGAACAUUGAACCUUGACGAGUGGCAUCUAGUUAAUGUUAACCUGUAAUGAGUGGCAUCUAGUUAAUGUUAACCUAUAGUGAAUAGCUAUGAGAACCUUAGUGUGGUUGGUAACACUAGAGUGAUGAGUAUGAUAUUUGCUCGUAUACAUGAUGAUACUAUCCUUAGUUGAUAGGGUGUUCCCAGUUUAUGAGGAUUUGGAUCGAGCUCACAUAGCCUGUCUGCGCUUGUGGUGGUAGCUCCACGCAGGUAUUGCACUCCGGAGGUUGUCACACGAGGGGGGCCAGUGUAGUUGCCCUUGGACCAUUGUAGCUGUCCGCAGGCAGUCUCGGGGGUAAACGAGUAGUUAGCCUCCUCCCCUAUGAGACUUACACACGUGAGACUAUGAGCAAGCCUUGAGUUCGCCGAGAGAUUGGGUAACCGGACGAGUCACAUUAUUGUUGUGCAUAGUAUUUGGUUACUUAGCCUUGCCUUAUGACACAUGCAUGCAUCAUUUCAGAUUGAGGCAUAGUGAGAUGUUCAUUUCAUAUACCUGCCUGUUUAUUAUAGAUGCUUUCAAUUCAGCAAAAUAUCUAUCUAUCUGUAUAUCUAUAUGUGCCUGCUUAGACCUAGUGGGGAGAUCGGCGGAGUCGGCGGCCGAACCAACUGGGAACUAUGGAAGAUAGUUCUCACCCCGCUCUUCACAGGUUCGAGUUCGAGUACCCCCGGCGAAGAUCGCGGCAAGGGCGUAGCGCCCUAGUGGUAUUAGUAGAGGUUUACUUUCCUUUAUACAUUAGCUACUCCCUGUACUUAUGUUGAGAGUAGAUGUUGUAUAGGGUGAGGUUUUGAGAGGAUUGUAUUUGUAUAUUAUCAUAUUUUGGGAAAAGACUGUAAGGGUUGUAAUUAAAUGUAUUAAGUUGAAUGAAUGUAAUAAAAUAGUUAAGUAUCUCUCUUUUAAUCACUUAUAUAGUUGUAUUACUCGUGAUACUUGCUCUCGUAUUGUCUAGCACUGUUUGUGCUUUCGUUGUUGUUGUAUGAUUGUGUAUGUAUUCAAGUUGUUUUCCUAUGAACUUGUUGUACACAAUCUCGUCAUUUGAGUCUUGGGCUGACAGAGGAGGUGCUGUCCAUUCGGCGUUCGUUUGCCGCGCCCGAACCGAACCAAAUUGGUAUCGGCCUCGGGGCAGGGGCGUGACAGAAACACUCAGCCGCACAAAAUCGUUGUCCAAAAGAUCUUGCAACUGUGCCCUCAGUUUUUUCAACUCAGCUGGUGCCAUCCUAUAGGGCGCUUUUGAGAUUGGAGUAGUCCCGGGGACGAGAUCUACCACAAACUCAAUCUCCCUAUCAGGUGGCAUUCCUAGAAACUCUGCUGGAAACACAUCUCCAAACUCCCGCACUACGGAAUGUCCUCAAUCCUAGGGGCGUCGGCGUCACCCCUCAACACCAUAGUAGCCAAGUAGGCUAUACAACCUCUGCUAAUCAACUGCCUAACUCGAGAGGAGCUAAUCAUCAUCGCAAACAGCGAACUCUGGCACCCACGGUAUACAACCUCCUACUGCCCCGGCUCUCUAAAAGUGUAACAUACCGAACUUCUAAAAUCAUGAAGUCACGGUGUACAUUUAAAUGGUUCCGGUGAAGUUGUCGUGGAAUGUAACAUACUGAAUUUUAAAUGUAAAAGUAUAAAUAAAUAAAAAUAAUAUGAGAUACUAUUUUAUUCGAUUUAGAGAAGUGAAAUAUAGGUUGGGAAUGACCUGUGCUGAAAUCGGAGUAAAAAUAGAAAAUUUAGAAUUUUCUGUGUGAAACGGGGCAGAUAAAUUAGCAGAAAAUGCACAGUGUCAGAAAAUUAUGAAAACUGGAGGAUAAGUCAGAAUUAUUUUUAUGAGGCUAGAUUUAAAGUUUCAUAUCAUUCUGACACCCGGAAGGUGGAAAAUAAAAUCGAACUGCUAUCUGCUAAAGAUUACAGUUCGGCACAGCUUUCGGUAACCAAACGAAGUCGAAACUGAGAACUUAAGAUAUAUUCUUACUCAGUAUGUAAAAUCGAACAUGACUGUCAAAUUUGAGCUCAAACGGAUGUUCAGGGAGCUCUGGCGAAAGAUAUCAGAUUUCGAAUUGCCUGGAGUGAAUAGUGGAUAGUUAAGGGGCUAAGUUGUAAAAGAGCAUUGCUCUUCUUCUCCCUCAACCGUGCAGCCACACACACAUGCGCCACACACACACACUCACACACGCAUGGAAAGGGAGAGAGAAAACUUCCCUUUCUCUCUCUAAAUCCCUCCCAAAGUUGGUGGCUUUGGUAGAGAUUGAAGCUUGGAGGUGAAUCGCCUUCGUCUUCUUCAUCUUUUCCAUGGUUUGGAGCUAAUUUUGAGUUGAGCUUCUUGAGCCCUCUCAUGGUAGAUCUCUAGGAUUAGCUUUAUAUGCUCUAGAGAUGGAUUUAGUAGCAUUCCUAGAUGCUGAUUAGAUGUUUUAUUGCUUGAAUCCAAGAUUAUAUUGUGUAUUCUUGCAAUAGUUGAAACCUAGGAUUCAAAAUGCAAUUUUUGUAAAUGGAUGGGUUUGAUCUAAAUUGAACCUAUAUAAACUUAAUCGCUAGGUAAACGAACACGUUUGCGAAGACAGUUCGGCGAUUCGUCGAGCCGUUACAAAGAUAUUGAAGAAACUGACGAUUUAGCUUCGUUUCCGCCUGGAGAGCCGAGGCGGCGUCCAUAAAUCACGGGGUUGGAUUCUGAGGGUCGUAGCAAGAAACCGAAGACCUAUAAUUACCGGAUCGUGGAUCGGAGAUCGUUCGGUGGUCGUGCGCGGAUUGGGUCAAGCCGAGCGGCGUGCGCCGCGGGAGGCCGAUUGCGAGUGACGACGAGCAAUCGGAAUGCGGUAAAAGGUGGGGGGUGUCAUCCCAAAGCAAUCGGGCUUCUCCCUAUGUCUAAGUAUCUCUAUGUUGAUCAAUUAUGCAUAUCGAGCUUUGCAUUAUAGGGUGCUAGAUGAUAAAUGUAUAUACAUAUAUAUAUAUAUUCUUGCAGGCUAGUAGAGUAGUGUAAAGUUGAAUUGCUUAAAUACUUGUACCUAGUAUGCAUGUGAUUGGGACAUAGUGUUGUGAAACCCUAUAAUGACAAGAUUAAUAUGGAUAGACUCUAGUUGAAUGAACACCUAGUCAUUGUAUACAAUUAGAGUAUUGAGAACGAGUGGCAUGUAAACAAUGAUCAUAACAAUAACGAGUGGCAUUGGAACCUAGUUAUGAUAUUGCAUGAGAAUCUAGUGUAGUUGACACUUAUAGCAUUGAACAUAGGGAAUAGGUGCAUUUCCCUAGUUUGUGGCAUAUUGCAUGAAAUGAUAUAUUGCAUGGGUGAAUUUCCCUAGUUGUGAUUCGGGUAGAAAACCUAAAGUUUUAUGUUGAUAACCCUAGAUAGUAGGGUAUUCCAUGUUUCCAGUUCAUGAGAUUGGAUCGAGCUCACAUAGCCUGUCUGCACCUGUGGUGGUCGCUCCACACAGGUAGUGCACUUCGGAGUUUGGCACGCGAGGGGGCCAGUGUAGUUGCCCUUGGACCAGUGUAGUGUCCGCAGGCGGUCUCGGGGUAGGUGAAUAGCUAGCCACCUCCCUAGGAGACUUACAGACGUGAGACUGUGCGCGAGCCUCGAGUUCGCCGAGAGAUUGGGUAACCUGAUGAGUUACGGUAUUAUUGUGUAUAAUAGCUUGGCACUUAGCCUUAGCCUUAUUGAUGAACCUAGUAGUAUGAUAAUUAGCCUCCACUAUGAGUUGCAUCGACAUUGAGUAUAGUUGCUUGGUAGUCAGAGUAGUGGAUUUGCCUACAUACAGUGAGUGGACAUACUAUUCUUUCACCUAUGAGAUUUGAGCGAGGUAGCCCUGUACCUAGUCGAGAUUGAGUCGGACCUUCAAGAUGUGAGUCGGGUGAGGAGUGGGGUAGCUCUGUCACGCCCCGGAACCGGCGGAGGCCCUCCCGGUAGCCUGCCCAGACCCGCCAUAUGUCCACACAUAUAAGGCGUCUAAAAUAAAAGCGGAAGUAAAAGCAAGAAUUACAACGACUAGGAAUGAAUAAUAUCUAAUGAUAUCAGAGCGAGUAAAGUUCUAUCAUCUAAACCAUAGUAAAAGGAACAUAACUUGACAAUGAAAGUAAAGUAUAAAGUGAUACAAUGCUAUCUCCUCAAAAGGAAUACAAAGAUCCAAAAGAAGGGUGGUCUCUAUACAUAUACGGGUACAGCUCUCAACCUCUCACAAAAUAAAAUAACGAGAGGUAGACCACCUAUCAAAUCGUCCUCGAAGGAAGCUAGCUCGAAGCAACUCCCUUCCCGCGGUCCCUAGCCUCUCCCGGCGUGGAAGGCUCUGAAAAACAUUAAGAAAAUGAGGGCGUGAGAACUAUAAUUUAUAGUUCCCAGUGGGCAAUUACUGACCUCAGCUCAAUGCACCACUAGACCCCAGAAGAAAUGGGUAAGCACGGUAAACAACAAUGAUGAUAAAGAUAACUGCGGUAUGAAAGUAUGCAUGUUUACUAAGCUUACAAUACCAUAAACAUUACAAUGUCAAUGUUUUACAUUUACUCUUUCAUAAUAAAGAAUGUUCAAUGCACAAGUAAUAUGUCUCAACAUGGCCACAGGUAAUUGUCACGGUCCACUUUAUGAAGUUAUAAAGAUCAUACUUUAUCAUGGCGACAAUGUAUAUAUGGAUAUAAUAAACAACAUCUCCUAGCAUACUACAUGUAUGUAUGAAUACUCUAAUGUCCAACACUAUGCUAGAAGCAAGUUCACGUGACCCAACUACUACUCUCUAUCCAGUAGUGAUUAUAAUACACACAACACUGUGUCGAUUUUCAUUUCCAAUUAAGGACCUACCCAAGGUAAUCUAGCUUGUGUUCUCUAAGUGUCUGUGGUAGCCCAACAUCCCUACUCUUGGAAUGUGUCUGUCCCACUCGACCCCGUAGGCAUCUCAAUACCGCACGAGCGAACAUAAGUCGCGUAGGCUAACUCCGGAGUACCGGCUUGUAAGGAGCGACCCUCACAAGCAUAUGCGAAUGAGCACAAAUGGCAAGCAAGCGUAGUCAAGGCUCAAGUAAUCCAACCCUCAUGUCUCAAACAUGGCAAUAGCUACUAAUACCCCAACGGUAUAGCUCUAUGUCACAAUGUGAUAGCUCAACACUCACUUGCUUAGUGCCUCUUCAUGACACUUAAGCACCACAACUAAUCAGGUCCAAAUCAUGUUCUAUGUUCCAAUUAAGACAUUAAUACCAUUGUUCACUCUAUCCCGGGCCCAAUGCCUCUUUAUGACAUUGGCCCAAUUUCUCAAAUAGUCUAAGUCCCCAAGCCUCUCUAGGCUUCCAAGUCCCUAAUGUCACAAUUAGGCAUAAGGUUAAAUACAAGAAAGCAAUGUUCAUUUUCAUCAUAGGAAUCAAGGUUUCAAGUUCCCACUAGAAUGCUAUGUCCCACAUGCAUGUAUCCUACCACAUAGGGGUCCAAACAUUCACUAUACAUAACAUAUGCAUGUUAAGCAUUCUAAAAUUCAUAAUAAAUAUAUCUAACAUGAUUAUGCAUGCUUUUUUAAUUAACGAUACUCAAAUCUUCACAAAUGAGAUUUUCUCAUUGUGGGGCUAGGUCAAACCCACCGAACCGUCGCGUAAUCCCUCAAUUCGCCAAACGGAGUUGUCCACGAGUCUCAAAAUACCCUAAAAGCAUUGAGCGAAGAGAUACACGGGCAUUACGAUCAACUAUAAGAUCAAACAUUAACAACCAAGGCAAAAGGGCUAAAACUCACCUAAUGAGUGGAGAAUCUCUCUCAAGCUCCAAAAGAAGGCUAGGAUCCUUCCAAGACAACCUAAUCCAAGCUUCUAAUCUCAUUAGAUUAGCUAAAAAAGCCUCCAAGCAAAAAGCCCCAAAUAAACCCUAGAUUUCCCAUUCUAGGGUUUCAUCCCCCAAAAUCUACCAAAGCUAGGUCUAGAGGGAAGAAACAAACAACCAACCUCAAGAGAACUCCAUUCCAAGCUCCAAGGGUGAAGAUAUUCUCUCUUGCAAGCUCCAAGUCCAAGCUCCAAGCACCAAGAAGGAAGAGAGGGUGAGGAAGAUGCUCCAAGUCCACUAGUUGCUCUCAAUCUUCUUCUUCUUCCUGCCUUCUUCUCCUCCUCCCUCUUCUUCUUCUCUAUCAAGGGCGUAGAGAGGGUUGAGGGAAGAGAAAUGAGGAGAAGAGAGAGUGGAUUGGCCAUAUAGACCAUCUAUUGCAACAAAAUCCAGCUAGGUUCCUCAAAAAUCCAAAAUUGCAUCAGCCCGGUCUGGGCAAUUUUCGCCCAGAGGGACCAGUCUCUCCCUGCGCGGGACCGGUCUCUCGCUGCGAACCCGAAAAAUCAACGUUCGGGAGCCGGUCUCUCCCUGCGCGAGACCGGUCUCUCACCGCGAAGACGCGCUCGGGGACCGGUCUCGCCCGCCAGAGACCGGUUGCCUCAGGGCUGCCACGACACUGCUCACUCGGGGACCGGUCUCUCCUCUCAGGGACCGGUCCCCGAGAGUGAAAACUCUCAGGACUUGUCCAGAACUCAGAUUUUCGAACUUUUUGGAUCGGAAAACAUUCUACGACCCUCCACUAAGUGUGGAAAAGCUCGAAACACAUCCAAUCACUCGAACCUCACAAUUUGCAAAGGUCCAGUGUGUUACAAGCUCUUUGCCUAGGACUUUCGAGAUUGGAUCGGACCUUCGAGAUAUGAGUCGGGCAAGGAGCGGGGUAACUCUUUGUCUAGGACCCUUGAGAUAUGAGUUAGGCGGAAAAAGAGCGGGGUAGCUCUUCACCUCCUAGAUUUGAGACCUUAGGCAAGUCGGCCUAGUUGAUUGGGUAGUAACAUGAAUUGCAUAAGUGGAUUGCAUUCAUACCAUGAUUUGACAUAGUAGAUCGCAUAACUAUGUUGUAGUUGUAUUCAUUACAUUGUUAAAGCAUGCUAGCAUGAUAGGAGGUUAUUGCUAGAUGAUGUUCCAUGCAUUCCUUGCAUUUGAUGGCAUAGUAGAUAUAGUAGCAGUUAUUUCUAUCUAUCUUUCUAUCUAUCUAUCUGUGCCAGCAUGGACCUAGUGGGAAGAUCGGCGGAGUCGGCGGCCGAACCGACUGGGAACUAUAUUUAUAUAGUUCUCACCCCGUGUGGUUUUGGGGUACAGGUACACACGAGAACGGACCGGCAGAUGAUCGUGGCAAGGGCUUAGCGCCGUAGUGCUAGUUGGUAGAUGCUUUCCUAUUGCAUUAGUUGUCACCCUAUGUACUUGAGAGUAAAUGAUGCAUAGGUGUGAGACUAUUUUGGAAAAUGUAAACUUAAGUUUAUGCUUUGGAUGAAUGUAAAGCUAAGUUGAAAUCAAAUGUAUUAAAGUUGAGUGGAUGUAAAAGCUUAGUAUCUCUCUUUUAUUCACUUGUUUAUUACUUGUGAUGCUUGCUCUUGAUUGUUUAGCACUGGUUGUGCUCUCGUCGCUGUUGUUGUAUGAUUGUGUAUGUAAUCAAGUUGUUUUCCUGGGAACUUGUUGUACACAAUCUCGUUUGAGCCUUGGGCGGACAGGGGAGGUGCUGUCCGUUCGGCGGUCCACCCGCCGUGCCCGAACCGUGCCAAAUGGGUAGCUUCCUCGGGGCGGGGGCGUGACAAAAAGUCACCGUUCAAUUCUUGCAAUCGAUAGUGGCGAAGUACUUGGUUAACCAAUCCAUACCCAAGACAACAUCAAACUCUCCGAGUUUUUGCAAAGCUAGCAAAUCCACGGGCAUUAUCCAAUCUUCUACCCGAACAGGGCAACUGGGGCAAAACUCCCUAAUAUCCAAGGAGUGGUCGGGGACAACAACACGUCCCGGAUGCAACAAGGAAACAAAGGGGAUGCCAUGCAACUCGGCAAACAGCCGAUCUAUGAAUGAAUGCGAUGCAUUGGUAUCAAAUAAUGCACGAACUCGAAUGCCAUUUAAUAAAAUGAUAUCUGCAAUCACAUUCUUGGCUGCUGCCGCCUCCUCGGUCUGAGCCGCAUACAUGCGCCCGCUCUGGGCCUGUCGUGACCCCUCCGCCUGCCUCGGAACUGGUGGCCGGCCGGCCUGGUAGUGAGCACAAGGCAUCCCCUGGCCGGGACCCGGUGAAGCUGGGGCUGAUGCCGAUGAUGGCGCUAGCGCUGGACCCCUCGGGCAGUCCGACUGGAAGUGGCCCUACUGGCCACACAAGUAACACCUACCCCGACUGCGUGGGCACUGCCGUGGUUGAUGAGAACCACUGCAGAUCAUAGAGCACGGAGCCUGUCGACGGUCCGAUCCUCCACACUGGGUAGAUGAGCCACGUCCUCGCGACUGGCUCCAACUCCUCGAGUGUCUCGGCGGCCUCCCAGAGUGCGUCUGGCUCGCACCCUCAACCACGGGCUUUUUGCCCUUACCCUUAUCAAGCCCUCAUGGCGCUCCUGCAAAUCCGCCGCGCUGCUCUCCACAAUGAGUACGCGGUUCACCACAUCUCGGUAGGUCUGGAGGUUGGAGGAUUGCACAAGCCGAAAGAUCGUCGGCCGAAGUCCUCGCUUGAAGAUGCGGGCGAUGUCCUCGUCGUCCCGCACGACAAAAGGUACACAAUGCAAAAGCCGAGAGAACUCCCUCUCGUACUUGGCCACAGUUCUCUCCCCCUCACGCAAGCUGCGCAAAUCCUGCUCCAUCUUUCUCUUGACACUGUCGGGGAAGUAGUGAGCCAGAAGAAACUCCUUGAACUUCCUCCAUGUGAUAGCUGCAAGGUCGGUGUUGGGGUUAUCCUGGAUAUCCAACCACCAACUGUAGUCCUCGCCGUCCAAGUGGUGUGUGGCGAGCCAAACUCUAUCCCUCUCCUGCACGAAGGUGUCGCGGAAUAGUUUCUCCAUGUGCAUCAACCACUUCUCUACAAUCUAGUGGUCGACCUUCUCUCCAUCGAAGAUCCUAGGAUUAUACCUCCUGAACUCGUUGAGGCGAUCCAUGAGUCGAUCCCGCUCGGCUCCCUCAACCAUCACAGGAAAACUGCCCCCGCCAAAGGCACCUGAGCUGGUGGUGCCACAAUAUCCUCCUCCCGAGGUGCCACCGCAGGGGCUGUCCGAGAAAUGCCGAGUGCAGGGGACGACACCCUAGGCGCAACCACCUCUACCGGCGCGGGUGGUAUAGGGACCUGAGCCUCCCUGGCUGCCGCCUGCUGCAGCAAAAGGUCCUCCAGGUGCUUCAUCUGAGCCUCCUACCGGCGUGCCGCAUCUGCCUGCUGCUGAGCUGCCGCCGCCUGCUGCGCGACCAAGUCAGUGAGGGCCACAAGCUGGCUCUUCAACUCACAGACCUCGCCGGAUUCGGAGGUAACGGAGGUCUCCACCUCCUCAAGAUUCGCCGCAUUGUCCGCUCCAACAGACUUAAAGCGUGUCGUCGGUAUUAUCACUAGCAACAUCAUAAAAGCGCAAAUUAGUAAAACCCACGCUAUUGCAACCCCGCUCAACAAAUAAGUACCCAAAUCAUGCGAAAAUAAGAAAGUGUUCUUUACUACUAACUCCCGAUGUUACGUUGUCGGCCGCCAACGUAACCCUCCGCGAAGUUAGAAGCUAUAUACUUCAAUUCAACUCCAACUUUUUAGACUUAUAAUAAAACCCAAUCAUAAUACUUUCACUUACAAAUCAAAUAGAUCUCGUCUCUCACGAGCCUAUUUCUUAUAGUCCAACCGGCCUAAUGUUUGCUAGGUCCACUAAGACUCAACCCUAGGCUCUGAUACCAAAUUAAUCUGUCACGCCCGGGACCGGCGGAGGCCCACCCGGUAGCAUGCCCACACCCGCCAUAUGCCUGCACAUAUAAGGCGUUUACAACAAUAGCAAUGAAUAAAGAAAAGAUAAUAAAUAUUUAAGGAUAUCAGAGCAUGUGUACAACUAACAUCUAUCAACAAGUAGAAGCAGUAAAACUAUCAACUGAGAUAAAACAUAGGGUGAAUACAUCAAACUGUUUCAAAAGCAAGUACUACAAUAUCCAAGAUGGUAGUCUCUAUGUAGAGUACAAACGCUCUCAUUCUCUCCAACUAAAAUAAAAAGGAGAAAAUAAUCCACCUAGCAAGACCCCUCGCUCGCUAGCUCGAAACGACACCCUUGCCGCGGUCCCUAGCCUCUCCUGGAGUGGAAGGCUUUGAAAGAAAAUAUAAAAUAGGGGGCGUGAGAACUAUAAUUUAUAGUUCCUAGUGGGCAAUUACUGACAUGAGCAAAAUGCACCACUAGACCCAAAAGCAUAAGUAGAUAAAAGAACUACUAGUAAGCUGCGAUAUAUAAAGCAUGUAAUGAAAUGCUGAUCUACAAUGCCACAAAUAUACAUGAUGUCAACUAGGUGUACAUCUACUCUAUCAUAGUCCGAUAUGCCAAUACAUGACUAGUAUGUUCCAACAUGGCAAACAAGUAUGCUAUAAUGCAAUAAGCAAUACUAUCAAGUACACUACAUGUCCAAGUGCCCAAUAAAUUCAACUACUAUGAACUGUCUAGUAGUGAUUAUUACUUAUAUGACUAGGUGUCGAUUUCUAUUUUCAAUUAAGGACCUACAUGUCCAAGUGCCCAAUAAAUUCAACUACUAUGAACUGUCUAGUAGUGAUUAUUACUUAUAUGACUAGGUGUCGAUUUCCAUUUUGAAUUAAGGACCUACACAAGGUAGUCCGGCUUGUGCCGCCUAAGUGCCCCUGGUAGCUCCAGCAUUCCCACUCGAGGAAUGAGUCUAUCCUGCCAAGCCUCCGUAGGCUUCUCAAUACCGCACGAGCGAUCAUAACUCGCGUAGGCUAACCUGAAAACCCUCUACUACAUAGGAGUCCAAAUAUACAUUGUAUAUAAUAUAUGCAUUCUAAGCAUUCUAAAAUUCACAAAUAAUGCAUCUAACACAAAUAUGCAUGAAAUUCCACUUUACGACGAGUAAAACCACCAUAGAGGGAAUUUUAUCCCAUUUGAUGAGGCCAAACCCACCUAGAGCUCCUCGGAACCGUUCGUUUCGCCGAACGAAGUUGCCCACAACUCUCCUAGCAUCCUAAAGGUAGUAAAAGGAGAGUUACACGAACGUUACGAACAACACAUAGGUCGGUCUUUAACCAAAUCAAGAAAAGGGGCAAAACUCACCUAAGAUGGUGAUAGUCUCUCUCGAUCUCCAAAUGGGAGUUAGAACUCUUCCAAUCCAACCUAGAGGAAGGUUCUAAUCCAAGAAAUCAAGCUCCAAAAGCUCUAAGUCCAAAACCCCCAAAUAAACCCUAAGUUUUCAUUUCUAGGGUUUCAACUAAAAUAAACCAUCAAAGCUUGAAUCUAGAGGAAGAAACAAGUUGCUAACCUCUUAGAAGCUUCAAAUAAGGAUCAAAGUCCACAAGGUUUGAAGAUCUCUCUCCUAUCAAGCUCCAAACUCAAGGUCCAAGCUUCUCCCAAGGUGGAAAUUGCACCAAAAAGAAAAAGAAGGGAUUAAUCCACCAAAAUCCAUACAAAAUGGAAUAUAAAUCCAAAAAGGGGAAGAGAGGAGGUCCUCUACCUUGCUCUGCAGUGUUUCCAAGCUCAGGAAACCAGCAAGGGGCGUGGGAUGCAAUAUAGAGUAGCAACAAUAGCAUAACACCCCUCAAAAGCUGUCAAUUUGUAGUCUGGCAAAGUAUACCAGUACAGGGGAAAGUAUAUCGGUACAACUCCCUCGAAUGCGCAAACCCGAGCCUCGGGUUGGCCAUUAACCACAUGUGUACCGGUACAACCAUCAAGGUAUAACCAGUAUACUUUCUGUAUCGGUAUAACCAUCAAGGUGUACCGGUAUACAAUCUUGCAGAAAGCAACCCGAGAGCAGCCUAUGUCCUCCACUUUGGUGACCUUAGCGCUACCUUAAAUAUCUCAAUUCUGGGGAUACGAGCCAUAGGUCGAAGCACUGUCAACAACCCUCCAGAAUACUUGGAAAAACUCGGAACAUAGAUCAAACACUCGAACCUCACAAUUUGCUAAGGUCCAGUGUGUUACAGCGCCGCCCGCCCGUCCCCGCGCUCGAGCGCCCACCCGCGCCGGCUCGCGCCCUGACCCCCACGCCCGCAGCGUNAUUAACAUUACUUUUUUUUCUAUUAUGCUUUAAUAUUUUUAAAUAUUAUUUAUCUCAAUAUUGAAUAAUAAAAAAUUAGAGAAUAAAUUAAAGAAUAAAAUUAAAGUAGAUUUCUUUCUAAAAAUAUUUAAAUCUUAUAUAAAUUAAUCCUUAAAAAAAUUGUGUGGUUAUCCCUCCAAAAUAAUGAGAGGUAUUCUUUAGUAAUGUCAAUUCAUAUAUAGGCGAUGGCAUGAUAAUUUCGUUAAUUCUAAAAUAUUUUUUAAAGGUUGCUAUUUUAUCGCGAUGAAAUUAAGAGGUUUGAAAAAAAAAUUAGGAUCAGAAAAAAUGGUGAAAAGUUUGGGAAGCACUAUACAAUUAAUCCUAAAAAAAAUUCUAAAAAAAUUUGUGGGCCACACAACCCUCUAAAAUAAGGGGAGAUCUUUUUUGGGUUCCCAAUUAGAUGAAAUUUUAAUUUUGUUGUCUUGAUUAUUAAAAAAUAAAAUUUCUCUAUACGGUAAAAUUUUAUACUUGAUGUAGAAAAAAAUAAAAGAAAAAUAUGUUGAUAUUUAUUAAAUAAAAUUUUAAUUUUGUUAUAUUGAUUAUUAAAAAAUAAGAUUAAUUCAUACGAUAAAAUUUUACACUUACUGUAAGAAAAAAAUAAAAAAAUUAUUGAGAGAGAGAGAGAGGAGAAAAAGGAUAAAAAAAAAAGAAAAAAGUGGGGCCCACCGGAAACUCCCCAAAACCCGGGGAGGCUUCCAUUGGGUUCCCAAAUAAUAAGAUUAUUAUAAAUAAAUAUCUAUAUAUACAUAUAUAAAUCAAUGAUAAAGAUAAACAGUUCUGUACUUGCUGUUAGCAAUUACAAAAACUGAAUAAAGAAACACCAUAAGAAAAAAAAACCCUUAAAAAUAUUCAUAAAUAAUCAAGAACAAUAAGAGGUAGCGAUAGGAUCAAAAGCAUUGCCAUAAAAUUCCCAAAUUUUUUCAUGCUGUUGUGAUUCUUCGAUUUUUCUUAGUGUUGACUUUCAAGCAACUCUUGGUGAUCAUUGUACUUUCCUUAGCCUAUAUCUUAAGAUGAACCAAAUAUCUUACCUUGCUUGCUAUUUCCUUUUGCAGUAGUGUGGACGAAAAAAAAAAAAAAAAAAAAAAAAAAAAAAAAACUAGUUUUGACGGCCUACGGCAACCACCUCUUAGUGUUCGCUGUCCCUUCCUCAACCUAUAUCUUAAGGUUGGAUAGAAAUAAUAUCUGAGAAUCCCUACGUUUUAUAUGUUUUUUGUAUUCUUUAUGUUGUCUAUAUUUUUAUUGUUAUCUUUGUUUAUAUUGUUGUAUAUAUAUAUGUGUGUGUGUGUGUUCGCGCGCAUGCGCGAACUAAGGAAAAUACUGGGUAGAUCUAACUCUUUAUUUAUAAAUUACCAAAAGCAUACCACCUCAAUCUGUCACGACCCGAUACCGCCAAUUUGGACAGUUCGGGCCCGAAACAGACCCGCCAAACGGGCAGAGUUUUUUCUGUCCGCCCGAAGCGUAACAAAGUCUAUGCAUACAUAUCCAACAAGAGAUGUUAGCAUUCAACAUUGAGAGAGGCAACCUCAGAUACAAGAGAAUUUAAACUAUCUAUUACAUCACUUGUUCACACACAUGAACCAUUACAUAUUUCACUUUACUUCUCAUACAUACAACCAAAAUGCCAUCUCUCAUAUACAUCACAUUUCUUCACAAAAGGGUUUUACAUAUCAUUCUUUCCUUUUUAUACUCGAGGGUAGUGAGCUAACGCCGGCGGUCCACUCUAUCUAGAGCGCGACGCCCUUGCCGCGAUCCUCGACACACGCGCUCGUACUAGGCUCUGCAAAACAGGGUGUGAGAACUAUUAUCCAUAGUUCCCAGUGGGUUCGGCCGCCGACCCCGCCGAUUUUCCCACUAGGUCCAAGAAAGGCAUAGAAACAAUAAAGAGGCCAACAUGUCAAAGGAAUAAUAGAUAUAACAAUAAGCUUACCUUGCUCACCACAUCUAUAUCACACUCAAAUAUGUAGCUAUGCCUUUACCAAUCAUGUCAACAAGUAUAAGUUUAAGUUCUACCAUGUAUGCAAACUAUAUAUGAAAUGUCAUGAUCAUGCCUUGUGCCAAAUCCAAACGAUUCGCCCGAAGGUCGAAUCACUCGCCACACAUACUGUCACGCGACCGUAACCGUCUGCCGGGGGCGCACAGCCGUGAUGUAGCAUACCGAAUUUUUAAUAAAAGUGAAUAUAAAUAAAAAUAGUGUGAGAUACUAUUUUUAUUGGAUUUAAAGAAGUAAAAUAUAAGUCGGGAUUGACUCGUGCGAAAAUCGGAGUGAAAACAGAAGAUUGAGAAUUUUCUGUGAGAUACGGGGCUGAUAUUUUAGCAGAAAAUGUACGGUGUCAGAAAAUUCCGUAAAUACGGGAAUAUGUUAGGAUUAUUUUUAUGAGGCUAGAUUUAAAGUUCCAUGUCGAUCCGACACCCAAAAGAUGGAAAAUAAAAUCCGACUGCCAUCUGCUAGAGAUUAUAGUUCGGUAGAGCUUUCGAUGACCAAACAUGGUCGUAACGGAAAGAUUUAAAUUUCUUUCGUCAAGUUAAGGAAAACCGAGCCUGACUGUCAAAUUUGAGCUCAAUCGGACAUUCAGAAGGGCUCCGGCGAAAAACAUCAGUUUGUAUCUGCUAAAUUACUAUUGUGAAUAAUAUUUUAGAGUGUUUACUAUAAAUAGAAAUUACUAGGCUUCUUCUUCUUCACAGCCAACACUAUCACCCUCACACACACACACGUUUAGAGAGGGAGGGAGAGAAACCCUCCUUUCUCUCUCUAAAUAUCUUCCUUAUCUCUCUAAAUCUCUCGCUCAAAUUUGCGACGUUGGCGGAGAGCGAGUUUGUGAACGCGUUGGAAGCGACGGAUCGAGCUUUCGUGCGCCCGUUGGAGCGGCAUGCUUCUGUCUUGGCAUUCACAUUUUGAUAAUCUUUUGGAAUUGGGCUAAUUCCUUUAUGCUUAGUGUUCUAUUAGCCUCUAAUGUGAUGAUUAGCAUAUUUUCUCCAUUUAAUUUGGGUUAUUUGGAGUGUAUGUAUAUGCUAGGGCUUUAAUGGUAGAAUUUUAGAACUUCAAUUAUAUGCUCUAGAAAUGGGUUUAGAGGACUCCCUAGAUGCUAAUAACNUCUAAUGUGAUGAUUAGCAUAUUUUCUCCAUUUAAUUUGGGUUAUUUGGAGUGUAUGUAUAUGCUAGGGCUUUAAUGGUAGAAUUUUAGAGCUUCUAUUAUAUGCUCUAGAAAUAGAUUUAGAGGACUCCCUAGAUGCUAAUAACAUGUUAAUUGCAUGAAUCAAAUUCCAAUUUGGUGAUUUCUUGUAAUAGUAGCAUGUUAAGGCUCAUAAUGGGGUUUUGCAAUAUGUAGAGGUUUGAUCUAAAUUGAACCUAUUCAAACCUAAUUGUUAGGUAUACGAACGCGCUGGCGAAGUCGGUUCAGCGAUACAACGAAGCUACGCGAAGAUAUUGAAGAAAAGGCCGAUUUCGGUACAGAUUGCCGCAGCUCGCGGUGUAAGCUUCCAAAAAUCACGAAACCAGAAUCGUAGCAUCGUGACAUCACCUAAAGUCUUGGAGCUAAGAGAGUCAUGGGCACGAAGGGUCGCGUGGAGCUCUCGGUGGGUUUGACCUUGCUACAAAUGAGAAAAUCUCAUUUAUGUGGAUUUAAGUAUCGUAAAAUGAAAAAUCAUGCAUUUUCAUGAUAGAUUCAUUAUUUGUAAAUUUUAGAAUGCUUGAAAUGCUUAUAUUAUAUACAAUAUAUUUUCGAACCUUUAUGUAGUAGAGAGCUUGCAUGUGAGACUUAUGCAUAGGUUUAGCAUUUUAAUUGGAACUUGGAAUCAUGUUUCAUAUAGUAAGCAUGACAAAUGUAAUAUGCCUUGGACAUAAAUCUCAUUCGGACAUAGGAGAAUACAUUAGGCCAUAAAGUGGUUUUGGACUUGAAUAACUUAUGAGUUAGAGAGCUAAUGUCGUAAUGCGACAUCGAGCUUGAGCUAUGAAUAAGCCUAGCAAAGUAAUGCCAUAGAAAGGCAUUAGACUUGAAUGAUAUGUGAAUUGCAUACGCAUGUUAAUAUUUUUUUUUUGAGAAAAGGUAGCAAGCUACCCGCUUCAUUCUGUGUAUGUUAAUAUUAUGAGAAUUAUGCUAAGUUGGUAGUUGCAUUGGAAAGUGUAUGCAUGUAGUAUUAUGAGAACUAUGCUAAGUUGAUAGUUGCAUACGGACGCAUUGAAACCAUAUGCUAGUAAAUAGAUGCAUGUUAAUAUUUAUAUGCAUUGUGGAAUACAUGCUAGGUACAUAUUAGCAAUGUGAGGUCAUGCUAGAGAGCAUGCGUAUUAACCUAUUAUUAAUAGGGUAAGCUAAUGUAAUAAAGAGGCAUUAGGCUUGGAAUUGGUAUAUUAAGCUAAUGUCAUAAAGCGACAUUGAGCUUGGGACAUGUAUGAAUCUAGUAAAUAAUGCCAUAAAGAGGCAUAAAAAUUAGAACAUGCUUGGAUAUAGUAAUGUUCUAGUGUCUUAAAGAGGCACUAAACUUGGUGAAUGUUGGAACUUCACUUUGAGACAUAGAACUAGACCGUUGGGUUGCUAGUGGAUAUUACCAUGUUAGAGACAUGAUGAUUGAAUACUUAAGACGAUGACUACGCUUACUUGCAAUUUGUGCUCAUUCGCACAUGCUUGUGAGGGUCGCUCCCUACAAGCCAGCACUCCAAAGUUAGCCUUUGCGACGCAGUUCGCGCGUGCGGGAUUGAGAAGCCUACGGGGGCCUGGAGGGUUAAACUUAUUCCUCGAGUGGGAAUGCUGGAGCUACCACUUGCACUUAGGCGGCACAAGCCGGACUACACUUCUGUAGAUCCUAAAACAAGAUUGAACAAUAACAUUAAACCGGUGUAUGACAAUCACUACUAGAUAGGCUUAGUAGUUGGUUUACUUAGACAUGCUUUUAGCAUAGUAUUGGACAUUUGGACAUGUAGUAUACGUGACAGUAUUACUUGUUGCAUCAUAGCAUACUUGGUAGUCAUGAUAGAACAUAGUAUGUAUGUAUUGGCAUAUUGGAUCAGGAUACAGUAGAUGUACACCAUGUUGACAUCAUGUAUGCUUGUGGCAUAGUAGAAUAGCGUUUCAUUAUAUGCUUUUACUUUCCGCAGUUACUUUUCAUUACUCUCUUAUCUGCUCAUAUUUUAAGCCUAGUGGUGCAUUUGGCUAUGGUCAGUAAUUGCCCACUGUGAACUAUAAAUUAUAGUUCUCACGCUCCCAUAUUUUAUAUUUUUAUUCAGAGCCUUCCACUCCGGGAGAGGUUCGGAAUCGCAGGAAGGAAAUCGCCUCGAGCUAGCUAGCGAGGGAUUGUUUGAUAGGUGGUCUACUUCUCUUUUUUUCUUUUUGGAGAGGUUGAGAAACUUGUGCCAUUUUGUAGAGACCAUCCACUAUUUGUAUCUUGAGACUUAUGAUGUACUACUUUACAUUUUACUUUAGCAGUCUACUUUCUGUGGUUUCUACUGGUUGAUAGAAUCUAGCUGUAUACUUACUCUGAUAUCUCUAGAUAUUCUCUAUUUAUUAUUCUUUUAUUUGCUAUCGUUGUAGACGCCUUAUAUGUACAGGUAUAUGACGGGUCUGGGCACGCACCGGGCAUAUGACUCCUGAGAAAUAUUUAUUCGGGUUAACUCUUUAAUUUUUAAUUUCAAAUAUUAAUAGAUAAAUAUAUUAUAUAAGCAUGUAUAUCUAAAUAUCCAUCUUUAUUAUAUAUAUUUCAGAUAAGCCAAGUUAAAUAGUUUUUUAAUAAUUUUAAAUAGUUAAUUUAGUCCCUGCGUCAAAUUUCACACUCAGAGAUGUGAAGUUAAAUCAUAAUAACAAUUAGGUGUCCAGUUCUUUUAUUAUUUCUUAUUUCUAAAAUUAAAUAAAAAUAGUUAAUUAACCAUCUAUACAAGCCUUGAUGGUGUUUUAAAAGAUUCAAAUAUAUAUAUAUAAACAUUACUCUUUUUUUUUUGGACGAGUUCUUCUAUAUAUUAUGAGCUACAUGGGUUGUUGCUCAAUGUAAGCAAUUCCACUGGGAAAGAAAAGGUGAGUAACGUUCGUGCUAAGCGAUGCGCUGCCGAGAAAAGUGAGGUCUCAUAUCUGAAAUAUGAGGAGGCUAAGGAACAGGUGACUGAGGAUGCAACCUCCUGCAGUGAUCGAAGACGAGCACAAUGUGUGUGCGGUCAAAGGUCAAAUUGUUGAAGAGAUAUAUAGCCCCCUACAAGUGUUUGGCUCUUAAGCCUUCUAAGCAGGAGGAGGCGAAAGCUUCGAAAGAAGCUUAAUUACUCUCUAGACUUCACGAAUUAAAGCUGACCAGAUUUUUGAUUGUCCUUAAAAAUAGAUAGAUAAAAUCAUGUCCCAUUUCUGGAUUUUCUCCCUUUUUAGAGAGAGGAAUUGGAGAGAGUGUGAAAGAGAAAAUAAGAGUGGGAGGGGAUACUGAUAGAGUGGCAUAAUAACAACUAAACCCUCCAAACGUUGGUAUUUAUAACCUAUACAAAUUCAAGCUUCGCAGAGGUGUGUAUCGAUGCGUGAACAUCAGUACCGGUAAUACUUCUCAACUAUAUCGGUACUUAGGGGUUGUUUCGCAAAACCCGAAAGUUGAAAUCCACCUUUUAUUAUAGUGUACCAGAACUCAUAAAUUCCGGUACCGAUACUCUAUGUUUUAAUACUAGCAUUCAGGUGAAUUUCAUAAAAUCCGAGAGCUCUCUCAGUCAUCCUACAAUUGAGUAACAAUACUCCAACUCUAGCAUCGGUAGGGCUGGCAAACGAGCGAGCCGGCUCGCGUUCGACUCGUGUUCGGCUCGAUAUUCGGCUCGCUCGAGCUCGACUCGAAAUUAAAUGAGCCGAGCUUGAACAAAAUAAAAGGCUCGAAAUUCAUUUCAAGCCGAGCUUGAGUAUGACUCGGCUCGUUCGAAUUAGGCUCGAAAAGCUCGAAAGCUCGAAAUAUAUAUAUAUAUAUAUAUAGAGAGAUAGAGAGAGAGAGAGAGAGAGAGAGAGAGAGAGAGAGUUGAGCUGGAAUGCUAUCAAUAGCAAACGGGCUCCGUUGCCACCCAUUUGUUUUCGAUGAUGGAGCCCUCAAAUCGACGAUCGGCACCGUUGAACAUGAUCUAUAUUACUUGAAGUAUCUAGAAAUUAAAUUUCAAAUAUUUUCGAUAUCAUUGACCUAAUGAUCAAAGGAGUUCAAAAUAUUAUAAUUUUUAAUGGUCGAAUGUGAGGUGUUUUUCCUCGUUUAACGGUGUAAACUAUCCAAAUCAAUUCAAUUUUGGUUUUUUUAGAAAAAAAAAAUCUUUAAACUAUUUAGAACAAGAUCUACACUCUUCGAUCUUGUACAAAUUCCUAUCAUCACUUUUUAGAGAUAUUCAUUUUCAGCCGUUCAUUUUUACGCCCACUUAUGAACGACGAGAACAAUAUCGGAAAAACAUGAAUUUGAUUUCUAGAUACUCAAAGUGUAUAGACAUUUUCACUAAACCCCGUACCGAUUCGUCGAUUUGGAAGGCUCCAUCAUCCGAAAAACAAAGCGUGGCAACCGGAGCGGCGUUUGCACCGAUAGUUAUAUUACAAAAGCGUCAAGUCCUAUAUAUAUAUCUAUAUUAUAUAUAUACUAUAUUAUAUAAUAAAUAUUUUAUUAUACUAUAUGGCUUUAAUUUAAUUUAGUGCCAUUAUUGUUGGUCCCAUAAAUUAAACCAACAAGUACAACCGUGCAAUUGAGCCCAACUCUAAAUUUAUAUAACACACUCUCUCUUUCAGACUUUUAUUAUUGCACAUAACCCUAAAACAUGAUAAUAUUCAAAUUCCCAAAUCCCCAUUUUUUUUCCCUCUCUCUCUCUCUCUCUCUCUCUGACCCUCACCUAGUCAGGCAGUCACUCUAACUCACAUUUCUUACAAUUAUUUUGUAUUUUGAAUUAUUGAACAUGUUGCAUCAAAUUAUAGGUAAUGUUCUAUAAAAAUUAAACUAUUGAUUAUAUAAUGUUGACAAUUUCAAUCGGCUCGUUUAGAGCUCGAGCUCGGCUCGACUCGAAAUUAGGCUCGCUCGAGCUCGGCUCGAAUUAAUUUCAAGCCGAGCUUGAGCCUAGAUUUAGGCUCGAAAUUAAUUUCAAGCCGAAUUUGAGCUGACAUAAGCUCGCUCGAGCUCGGCUCGUUUCCACCCCUAAGCAUCGGUACUAAUAGCAAAUCUGCAGUUAUAUAGAAUUUGUCUUUUGGAGUUCGUUUUCAUCCGGUUUUCAUGCCAAAAAUACUCUAUCACUCCCCAAAUACAGCCAAAACCAUCAAAAUAGUAUCUAGAACUUUGCUAUUUGUUAAAUGAUCAGUGCAUUACAUGCUUAACCUAAUAGAUCGAUUAUAUUUUCUUGAGCGAUGCACAGUUGGAUAGAAAAGAAACUAUAUAUAUAUUAUCUAUUACAUAUCAUUUCUAUAUAUAAGUUCGUUUAAUUAGUUAUUUAAAAUUGAUUCUAAAGUUAGAUAUAAUAUGCAAAAGUAAUAACAUUUUUAAAAAUAAGAGUGCGCGUGCGCCCCCUAUGCUUUUGAAAACACGAAAGCCUUCGUGCUUGUAAAUUAUUUUCAAUGAUGGUAUAUCCGAUUCAAUAAUCAACUUCUUGAAACAUAAUCUAUGCUAUUAAAACUAUUCAAAAACCAAAAUUUAUAAUUUUUCAAUAUUAUUUACUAAAUAAUCAAAAGGUCUUAAAAAUAACUAUUUUAAUGAUCAAUAUGACAUGUCUAUUAGCUCAAGAUUGUAAAACAAUCCAAAUUAAAUAAAAUUUUAGUAGAAAAUUCUACUAUCAACAAUACCAAAAUAGAUAUUUUUGAUUUAAAAUUAAAGUCACUUAUUACUCUUUUUUAUAAAAUUUUUAUUUUUAGCUGUUCAUUUUAAAACUGAUGAUUUACUAGGCAAACGAAAUUAAAAAAUUAUGAAAUUUGAAUUCCAAAUAGUUUCAAUAUUUUAGAUCACAUCUAAUAUAAUAGAUCGCUGAAUCGAAUGUCUCAUCAUAAAAAAUAACUUAUAAGUACGGAGAUUUUCGUACUUUCAAAAGCAUAAUAGCCUAGCUCUUUAAAAUAAUAUAAUUAUUAUAUCAAUCAACUUUUACAAUAUAGUUUUAUUUAAGUCUUGACAGCAUGACGGAUAUAAAGGACAUUUUUUCUAAAUAACCUUCAAAAAUAUUAUAAUCGGCUAAAUAACCCUACAAAACAAUUUGGCGAAAUAACCCUUCUUUGGCAAGUAGAAUUUGAUUUUAAAAGAAGUGAAUCAUUCACCUUCUUCAAGAAGACGGCGAACAAUUCAUCAUCUUCAUAAUAUCCUGCUAAAAUGAUAAAUCAUUCACCGAUUUCUUAAAGAUUAUUUCUUAAAUUUUUUUAUAUUGUUAAGAUUAUAAGUAAUUUAUUAAAAUUUUUAUAUGGUUAUUAGAAUUAUAUAUAUGAAAAAUUAAAAAAUGUGAUUUGCUGAAAUUUUUAUAUAGUUGUUAAAAUUAUAUAUAGAAAAUAGGAAAAAAGUGAGAUUGUUAGAAUUGUAUGUGAAUUAUUAGAGCUUUAGGUUAAUUGUUAAGAUUAUACGGAUAGAUUAUUAAGAUAGUUUAGGCUGUUAAGAUUGUAUUAAUUUGUUGAAAUAUUUAUAUGAUUUUUAGGAUAUAUAUGAAAAAUAGAAAGAACACUACAAUAAAAACGGUAUAUAGCGACACUUUUAAAUGUCAGUACAUGUCAAGAAAAAUGCUGCUGACUAAAUUACCGACACUUUUAAAAAGUGUUGUUAUAUGUGGGUCGCUAGGUAUCAAGUGACAAUUUAAGAAUAUCAGUAUAAUCUAAAAAGAGUGCUGCUAAUUUAGUGAGGAGAGAAGGGGACAUGGUGAUCAUUUUUUUUUUUCCUUUUCUUUUUGUAAUCGGGCCGAAUGGGCUGAGUGGGGUGGGUUGAAUAGAGUAAUAUUUUACUUUUAGUUAGAUUGGGCUUUAUAUUUAUGCCUUAGUAGAUUUUUAAAAAAAUUUUGGCAUAAAUGGGACACUUUUGUGACACUUACACAAAAGUGUCCCAAACAUGUGUCUUUAAUUUAUUUCUAUUGUAGAGACGUUGAAUGAUUCAUUGCUUCUAUGGAAAGCUAGAAGACAGUGAAUCAUUCAUUCAACGUCUUUAUAACGAUGAACGAUUCAUCGUAUUUAAAAACAAAAUUCCGCUCUAACGCUGAAUUGGCAAAAAUAGAGACAGUUUGCCAAAAAAAAAAAAAUUAGAGGAUUUUUUAUCCAAAUAUGAAUUUUUAUAAGGUUAUUUCGAUAAAAUGUCCGAUAUAAACCAUCUUGGCACGCAAUUACGGGGUAGUUGCUAGUGUAGAGAAAAAACUGCUUAGUAAACUUAUUAUUAGAGCAUGCAAAUAAAUAUAGCAUCAUUGAGAAUAUAACGGUCAUAUUGUCCCAAAUCAUUGAUAUCUGGUUGGGGGAUAAGUGGGGGAUAAUGGGUUAUCCCCCUUUGUAUCGGAUGAUUAUCCCAAUCCUGGGAAUAGGGGUCCCACCCCUAUUUCAUUUUUAAAAAAUUUUAAUUUUAUUUUUAAAUUUUAAAAAUUUAUACUUUGUAAUCUUAAAAUGAAAAUUUUAUAAUUUUAAAUUUUAAAUUUUAAAUUUUUAACUUGAUAUUUUAAAUUUUUAAAAUUUAAAAUUGAUACUUUAUAUAUUUAAAUUUAGAUUUAAUCUUAAAUUUAAAAUUUAGAACUUUGAAUUUUCAAAUUUGAGAUUUAAAAAUUUAAAUCUAAAUUUUGAAUUUUUAAAAUCUAGAAGUUAUAUAUUUAAAUUUAAAAAUUUAAAUAUAAUAUUUAAAAUUUUAAAUUCAAAUAUAAUAUAGGGAGCAAUAUCAUUAUUUUCUAUUUAUAACUNNNNNNNNNNNNNNNNNNNNNNNNNNNNNNNNNNNNNNNNNNNNNNNNNNNNNNNNNNNNNNNNNNNNNNNNNNNNNNNNNNNNNNNNNNNNNNNNNNNNNNNNNNNNNNNNNNNNNNNNNNNNNNNNNNNNNNNNNNNNNNNNNNNNNNNNNNNNNNNNNNNNNNNNNNNNNNNNNNNNNNNNNNNNNNNNNNNNNNNNNNNNNNNNNNNNNNNNNNNNNNNNNNNNNNNNNNNNNNNNNNNNNNNNNNNNNNNNNNNNNNNNNNNNNNNNNNNNNNNNNNNNNNNNNNNNNNNNNNNNNNNNNNNNNNNNNNNNNNNNNNNNNNNNNNNNNNNNNNNNNNNNNNNNNNNNNNNNNNNNNNNNNNNNNNNNNNNNNNNNNNNNNNNNNNNNNNNNNNNNNNNNNNNNNNNNNNNNNNNNNNNNNNNNNNNNNNNNNNNNNNNNNNNNNNNNNNNNNNNNNNNNNNNNNNNNNNNNNNNNNNNNNNNNNNNNNNNNNNNNNNNNNNNNNNNNNNNNNNNNNNNNNNNNNNNNNNNNNNNNNNNNNNNNNNNNNNNNNNNNNNNNNNNNNNNNNNNNNNNNNNNNNNNNNNNNNNNNNNNNNNNNNNNNNNNNNNNNNNNNNNNNNNNNNNNNNNNNNNNNNNNNNNNNNNNNNNNNNNNNNNNNNNNNNNNNNNNNNNNNNNNNNNNNNNNNNNNNNNNNNNNNNNNNNNNNNNNNNNNNNNNNNNNNNNNNNNNNNNNNNNNNNNNNNNNNNNNNNNNNNNNNNNNNNNNNNNNNNNNNNNNNNNNNNNNNNNNNNNNNNNNUACAGUCGAAUAGUAUACUAUAUUUUAUUAUUAUGUGAUUUACAAUUACUUGUGAUUUUAUUUGAUUUUUUCUUUCUUUCCUUUUUUGGCUCCUGACUCCCUUAAAUUUUUCUGUCUCUUUUACUCAAUUUUUUCCUCGGAAGCUUCAGCUGCUUCCAUUCUGUAAGCUUAGUUUAUCUUCCUAAUGAAUAAAGCGGAUAGCUCGCUAUCUAUUUCUAAAAAAAAAAAAUAGUUGUGAUUUGUUAAUUGUAUUACUUUGAACACACUUUUCAAACUAUAAAUAACAAAAUUUGGAUAAAUUGAAAGUCUUUCCGUCCCAAAAAGUCAACUAACAACAACAGGUAAUAGUGUUAGCCACGACAUAUAUAUAUAUAUAUAUUAACUAACUCCGCAAUAACGCGUGGCAAGUGUCCUUUCAUAUUUGGACUCACAUAUUUGCAAGUCUACAUAUAAGGAACUCACAGUCCUAAUGCAGGAACCAUGAAUACCUACACAAUAUUACGUAUUUGCAACCUCAAUUAACUAAUUGAAGAGAGAGGGAGGGAGAGAGAUGGCAAGGAUUCUGGGAGCUUUAGGGCAUCCUAUUUCUACGGUUUAUGCCACUCCAGGUGUGUUAUUGUUUUGUGCUAUUGCAGCAUCUCUUGCGGUCAUAACCGUGGCGGUUUUCAUUUGCGGCGACAAUCAUGGAUCAAGUAGGCGGAAAGGGGAUGUCGGAGGGGGCGGGGAUGGUGGCGGAGGAGGCGGGGAUGGUGGCGGAGGAGGCGGCAGCGGCUGUGGCGGAGGAGGAGGCGGCGGCUGUGGUGGAGGAGGAGGAGGAGGAGGUGGCGGUGGCUGUGGUGGCGGCGGCGGCGGCGGCGGAUGAUGUUGAUUGUGUGCGCAUGGGACUUGUGAAAAACCAAUAGCAGUUUUCUGUAUAUUAUAUAUUCUGCUUGUUGAAUAAUUUUAUUCGUGGUUUGGAUUUUCUGAAAUAGUACAAAAUAAUGUUCUGAUAAUCUUGUUUGAAUAUUUUUUUUUUUUUCCUUUUCGAUUAGGAUGAUUUGAAAAAAAAUAAAAACAAUAAAAAACAUUCUACGCUGCUUCAAAAAUUAAGAGCUGUGUGUGACAGUAGAAGAUUAGAGUACCACGUAGUAUCAGAUUAGAUCCCUUAUCUAAACCAUCAUGCUAGCUAGUGUGUCUUAACAGUUUUUUUUUUUUUUUAGAGAUAGAUAGCACGCUAUUCACUUCGUUUAUUUUAUUUAGAAAUAAACUUAGCUGGAAAUGGGAAUCACUUAGGAUUCGAACUUGGAUCUCGGAUACCAACCAUCAAGCCUUUUGCCACUUGCUCUAGGGACGGUCAAUUAGUGUGUCUUAACUGUUGAUGCAAUGAUCUGGUUUCUUUUUAACUUAUAGCAUAUAGCUGUAAGAACUUAACUCUUCCAAAUCUCUCUCUCUAGCUAGCUCUAAUACAGAACUUAUUAUAUGAUCAAGUGCGAGUUACAAACCAUUGGACUAACUAUGAAGCACAGAUUCGAAUCCUUAACCUUUGAGAUUGCUCCGGGCAUGUAUCUAUCAUUGAAGUAUUGAUGCAUUGCUCCAAGCCUCUCUUUUAACUUGGCCCGUAACAUGUAGACCCAUGUAUAAGUUUAACACUCAUCCCAAUCAGUUGGAGGGCCAAACGCAUUAACGGGCGAGGUUUGGGCGGCCGGUUUGGACGAUAGAGUAAGUUAUCGCAACCAGAUACUAGAAGUGAUCCAAUCAAACACUCUACUACUCUAAUUCAUACAUAUAAUCGGUUCAUGACCACAACUCACAAAAAUGUAGUGCACAUAUAUAAUUCACGGGCAAUAUAAACGAAUUUUACCGACCGUCCCUAGAGCAAGUGGCAAAGGAUUUGAUGGUUGGUAUUCGAGACCCAAAUUCGAAUCCUAGUUGAUUCACAUUUCUAGCUAAGUUUAUUUCUAAAUAAAAUAAACGAAGCGGGUAGCGUGUUACCUAUCUCUCAAAAAAAAAAAAAAAAACGAAUUUCCUAGCUAAUAACUAAUUCGUUUUUUUAAUAACUAAUUUAUUAAGACAAACAAUUCUGGUAAUAAUAUCAACAUCAUAUAUUUCACAUUGAGCAAUCAUGCAUUCAAGUUUCCGCGUGUUUCCGUAGCUUAAAAAAAAAAAAGAACCAUGCUUAACGACAAGAGCAAUAAUGGAAAGAAAAAUCAAAGUAACUAGAGGUAGUAAUAACAACCGCUACUUUUCUGAGGCCAGAAUAUAUAGCGUGCGCGUUGUAACUAUGCGUUCAUAUAUAUCUUGGACUACAUAUUUAUUUGAUGUAUUCAUAUUUUGUACUAUAUAUAAUUGCAACCUUAUCUAUAAGGAACUAAAGAACAUAUUUAUUUGAUGUAUUCAUAUUUUGGACUAUAUAUAAUUGCAACCUUAUCUAUAAGGAACUAAAGAACGUUCGGUAGUUUCUAAGGAAAAAAAUCACACUGAAAAUUUGAUUAUAUUAAUUAUUUAAUUAAUUUUAUGAUAAAAAUUAAAUUAAAUUUACAGAUAAAUACUAAAAUCUAAAUAAAAAAUUGUUGAAGAAAAAUGCCAAAAUAUUUAUUCCGGAAGCAUGCGUAGCAUUACGAGAUUAAUCAAAAAUAUUGUCCCAAAGUACGACCAGAAUUUUUUCUCAUGUGAACACGAAAGCAGAAGAUCUUUCAACACCCGGAAUCUCUCUCUCUGCCAUGUCCAUCUCAUGAACAGUGGAAAGAAUACUAUAAAUAGUGGUGUAAAUAGAACGUUGGAAUCAAACCCAAUGUUCCACUCCAAGGCAAUAGAAGCUAAAAUAAUAAUAAAAGUGAUUGAAAUUUUUUGAAUUUUUUCACCAACAUAGUUAACUUGAAGAGAGAGGGAGAGAGAUGGCAAGGAUCCUGGGAGUUUAGGGCAUCCAAGUGUUUUGUUGUUUUGUGCUAUUAAUUGUAGCAUCUUUUGCAAUCAUAGCCGUGGCGGUUUUCAUUUGUGGUGGUCAUGGAUCAAGCGAACGUAAGAGGAGACCUCGGAAUGAUUCAGCCUUAGUACACGGAGGCAGCAGUGGCGGGGGCGGUAGCUGCGGUCGUGCCGGUGGGCGCGGGCGCGGGCACAGAGGUGGCGGCUGCGGGCACGGAGGAGGUGGCUGCGGCGGUGGUUGUGGCGGCGGAGGCAGUUGCUUGUGUGCAUGGGACAUGCAUGCAGGACCAAAAUGCGUAGAAAUAUGUACCUACAGCGUAACCAUUUUCUAUUUUUCUACUUGUUGAAUAAAUUUUUGGUUAAAGUUUUCUGAAACAGUAGAAAAGUAGUGUUUUAAUUUUUAAUUUUUUGGGGUCUUAGUUUUAUUAUAAUAAUUAUCUAGUGUAUGUGUGUAUAUAUAUAUAUAUAUAUNUGUUUAAGUCUAUACUCGUUUUUGAUCUAGUUAAAACACAAACUUAUUUUUAAUUCAACAAGGGCUUUUAUUCUUUUUAUUGCACUAUCUUAUUCUUAUUAUCACUCAUCAAUAUUUAUCUUUUAUUAUUAUAACGGGGAAUAUAAUAUAAACUUAAAUUUAAAGAUUUAUAUUUAUUUAUUUAUUUAUUUAUAUAUAUAUAUAUAUAUAUAUAUAUAUAUAUAUAUCUUAUUCCUGAAAUAGACAAUUCUUGCUUAUGCCCAAAUCAAAAGAAGCCUGAGUGUAUAAUUCGCUAUUGUAGAGCAGCAUGGCUCUUGAAGCAUUUUUUUAAUUAAAAAGGUAAAUUACACUUUUGGUGCACAAAAUAUGUGGGCCAUGGUAUUUUAGUUCUCAAAUUUUAAUUUAUUGCAAUAUUUGGCUCCAGGUAUAAGACUUGUGACACUUUAGUUUUCCAUCUUUAAUUAAUUAUAAUUUUUUGCUCGAACUACAAAGCAUGUUAUACUUUAAUUCUCGAACUUUUGAAUUAUUAUAAUUAAGUCCCAUAACCUUUUUUUUUUAGGACUAAAAUGUUAUAUACCGCAUAGUUCGAGCCAAAAAUUAUAACUAAUUUAAGUUUGAGGAUUAAAGUAUCAUGUGCUUGAUUGUUCGGUCCAGAAAUUAUAAUGAAUUAAAAUUUAAGAACUAAAAUAUCACAGCUCACAUAGUUUAAGGAUCAAAAGUGAAAAUUAUCUCUAAAGUUCUAGCCAACAUGCUGGCCAGUGUCUUACCGCCUAUCAUCUCUCCCACUCAAUCGGCCUUCCUUAAAGGCCGACUAAUGAUUGACUCGUUUGCUACUGCCAAUGAGUUAGUCAGCUGGUGCUCUAAAACCAACACAGAAUGCGCCUACGUCAAGGCUGAUUUCGAAAAAGCUUUUGAUAAUGUCAGGUGGAGUUUUCUGAAGGAUGUAAUGUUGUGGGCUGGCUUCAGCGAGAAAUGGUGGUCUUGGAUUGAACAGUGCUUGUGCAAUGCAAAAGUUGCCAUACUCGUGAAUGAUACACCGACUAAGUGGUUAAAAACCCGGAAGGGAGUUAGACAAGGAGAUCCCCUCUCUCCAUACCUAUUCCUAUUAGUGGCUGACUGCCUAGCCAGAUUGACCGAGUUCGCUAGAAGGAACAACCUCCUUUCUGGAAUUGGACCAUCCCCUACUUGCCAAACUGUCCUAAUUCAAUAUGCUGACGAUACUAUUUUCUUUUGCGAACCCCGGAAACGUAGCAUGAGAAACUUGCGAUUUUUAUGGAAACUUUUCGAAUGGGCAUCUGGACUCCGAAUCAAUUUGGACAAGUCCGAGCUAUUUUACCUGGGAGUUAUGCCUCAGAAAGCGACUAAACUCGCUAACAUUCUGGGCUGUGUCGUAGGGCAUCUCCCCUUUCGAUAUUUGGGUUUACCUCUUUACAACAAAAAGUUGAGAAAGGAAGAUUGGUCUAUUAUUAUUACCCGUAUCAACACAAGGAUAGAAGGUUGGAAGGCUAAACUACUCUCCCAAGGGGGGAGGCUCACCCUCGUCAACUCUGUUCUAACCAAUCUGCCGCUUCUCUAUCUUUCCAUUUUUAAAGCUCCUCAGUGGGUAUUGCAACGGAUCGAAGGCCUUCGGAGGGCCUUCUUCUGGAAAAGUUGCAACAAAAUCACUGGGGGGGCCUGCCUAGUUAACUGGAAGUCUAUUUGCAAAAGCAAGAAAGAAGGAGGAUUAGGCAUCAAGGAGUUGAAAGCGAUGAAUUUGGCACUGCUAUCCAAAUGGUGGUGGCGCUUCUACAACGAGACGAACCAGCCAUGGAACAACCUAGUCAGAACUCUUUACUACAACAAACGUAGACCUUUACACGAGGGCAGAUCUUUUGUACCUUACUCGAACUGGUGGAGAGGCGUGCUACACUGCCGUGAAAUCUUUAGAUGUGGCAUAAGCCAUACUCUCGGUAAUGGCGUGAACUUCAAGCUGUGGACGGACAUAUGGAUCGAGGAAACCUCUCUACGCACUCUCUUUCCGUGCCUCUUCGAUCAUGCGAGGAACAAGGAGGCCACGGUAGCUCAAUGCUGGAACAUCAACGGUUGGCGCUGGCACUACAUCGGUCGAGGCACUUCGGGGCCGCCAUCUGUGGAAUGUCGCAGACAACUUAUGUCAAUAAAGGAAAUGCUUAGUCACAUCCGCCCAAGCCAAUCGCCAGAUUCGAUCAACUGGAGAUGGACCUCUAACCAGCUAUUCUCCGUCAGAUCCCUUUAUAGGUUCCUCACAGACGCUGGUCUGCGGGACACAACGACCUUACCUAUCUGGAAACUCAAAGUCCCAACCAAGAUUAAAGUCUUCUUAUGGCUGCUACUGAGGAAGAGAAUUUCGACUGCCGACAGGUUACAUAAACUCGGAUGGAUUACAGAGCAAUUUUGUGUUUUCUGCGCUGGCGACUCGGAAAGCUGCGACCACCUCCUGGCCUCAUGUGUUUUCGUUCGUUACCUGCUUGUCCGAGUGGACGGACCGAGCUUAUUGCUCGAACCGUCGACGGAUGUCAGAGAGCUCUGGACAAAAGUUUGUUGCCUUGCUGACGCUCAGAAGAGAGCACAAGUUUUGUCUCUACUUUCCGCCGUCUGGUGGGUGGUUUGGACUGAGAGAAAUGACACCCUCUUCCGUGCUAAGCAAACUAAUCCUUCCCGAGCUCUAGACCGUAUCCAUCUGCUGAUGGCUGAUUGGAAAACAUAGUAGCAGUAGUAACAGAAGGAAUUGCAGUAGCGGUGGUUCUAGCAGUUAUUGUAGUAGUAGUAGAUCUUCCUUUCUCCUGUGCUUUGCUGUUUUUCUGUCUUUGUUUUUUCACUUUUUACACGUUUCAAAUCCCUGGAUUUAAUUUUACGUUUUCUUACGGUUUAUCCGUGACUGCACCGCUAAGGCAAUUAAAAUUGUCAAAAAAAUUGCCAAUCCUGCAUUAACAUUAUUUUAGUUCUGUAAUCCCUGAGUUAACGUUUUUUUUUUUUCCAACCCUUGGCUUCAUUUUUAACCACGUUUCCAACCACUGAUGAUCACAUUAAUUAGAUAAAAAUUUAUUAUCUUUCCCUUUCACUUUUUAGUCUAAAACUGCCCUUCCAAAAUACAUUAAAUCGAUAAAAAAUUUUUUUAAAAAAACUAUAAAAAAUAAAAAAGGAAUGAAUGUAAUUUUCUAUCUAUCUGCGUUUUAAAUAUAGGAUGACAAUCGCAAAAGGAAAAACUUUUUUUUUUAUCAUACUAUGGGCGAAGUAAGAAAAGUCUAGGAUGAAGAUCGCAAUUUAAUAGUGUAAUCUGUUGAAUGAGUUAUCUGAUUGAUAGCCUCCCCGUAACCACACGAUGAUGUAUCUUCUUUUAAUGUUCCUUUUUAUACUAGUUAAAUAAAACUAUUUAAUAAUCAGGAUAAGAUUAAUAAAAUCGCUUAUUUGAAUAUUAUAAAUUAUAGUUUUUAGUCUUUCCACAACAGUCCCUAUUAACCCCCGCGGAAAGGGGUUGUUAAAGCACUUACUAUCUCAUCUACGUAAAAUGUAUCGUAAAAAUGGCACCUCUACUAGUAGUAUACUAAUAAACAAGUUUAUUAGAAUAUCCAUUAACUAAGAUUGAUAGUGAAUUCCGUACGAACCAAACGCUAUCAAAAAUUAAUUAUAAGAAUCCUUAAUCAGUACAAACCAAUCAGUUUACUAAAAACAAGUUAUAUGUUUUACGAAGUUUUACUAGAAUAUCCAUUUAAUUAAGAUUGAUAGAUAAUCUCAUACAAACCAACCUUCAUAUGAAAAUUUAAAGAUCCUUAAUCCCAAUCCUAAAUACAAACCAAUCAGUUUUUUAGAUUGCACCGUCUUUUUAAGUAGAAGAUUAGGUUGUUUUAUACCCUAAAUUUUUUUAGAAGAUUGGGGUGGUUUUUUACCCUUAAGUUUUGCGUGGGAGAGAACCAAAAAAAAUAAAAAGGUGCUCUUAACUAGAAUUACUUUAUUUUAUAAGAUGAAUUCAAACUAUAAUUAGUAGUAAAAUCAUAUCUAGCUUAUUAUAUAGUAUAGUAGAAAUAAUUAUAGUAAAAUCUAAUAUCUGAGUUUAUCCUGACAAAUUAGUUUUUUUUCUAUAAUAUCUGAAUUGUCGUUUGAAUAGUUAUAUUAAGUCAAUAAAAAGGUAGAACUUGGUUUGUACACCCUGUUCCGUAUUAGGAUCCAUAAGAUUCUAUGGGUAUUUUUUUUUUUUUAGUUUCCCUCUCUCCAAACUUGGAAGUUUGGAUAAGGAUUUUUUUUUUUUGGUGGGGUAAGGGGCCUAGUGCUUUCUUCUUUUUUCGAUCGGACGAAGUAAGUAAGUCAGCUUUUAGUUAAUCCUACUGGUAUUAGUUUCGUCGGUCGCGAAGUUUUUUUUUUUUUGCUCUACUUUUUUUUUUUAUUUUAUUUUUUUUUUUUUGCUUGCNNNNNNNNNAAAAAAAAAAAAAAAAAAAAAAAAAAAAAAAAAAAAAAAACAGGACAGGCAAUUUGAACCAAAUUUUGGUUUAUUUCGAAAAUAGUGCUACUUUGUCUAUUACCAAAGAGCAGAUUUUUAGUAUUGGUAAAACAGCUCCAAAACAUGAUCGAGAUGGCCACUUAUUAUCGCAUAUAUAAUAGAUUUGACAUGGUUCAAUCUGAUUUGCCAGUAACAAAAUCAAGGAUUAAAGAAGACUCCACUUCAAAAGUUUCUUUUACUUGUUAACAAAUUUUUGAAGCAGGGCAAGUUCUCUACUUAAAUAAAAUAUAAAACGAACCCAAAUAAUAAACAUGAAGGGGCUAGGCGUAGUCAAAACCUAUGUAAACUUAAAACGCAUGAAAGAAGGAUUAGUUAAUCAAAAGAAAGGUCAAACCAACCUAAUCAAAAGGCUGAUACACGAGGUCAACACGCACAAAAAAACAAAAAGAAAAAGGAACAAAAAAACAAACCAACAUUUUUCCCCUUUUCCAUCAACAUUUAUAAAUUAUUGCAAAACACACCAGUUGAGAAAUAGUAGGCGGUUGCUAGUAAAAUUCGGUGCUUCUUGCUGCAGCAGGAGCCAAAGUGUAAAGAACUCAGAAUCAAAGGCUCUGUGGAUACUGCACCGUUAAGCCUUUGGAACGAUUGUAACAAAAAAUAGUAGGUAAUUGCAAUCGUUAUUUCGAACAAAAGCACGAGUAAGAAGACACACCCUAGUCUACACUUGAAGAGUCAGUAUCCACUAUUGAGAUUAUUAACUUAAUGUCCAUAUACACUAGUUCGACAAGUCCAUAUACUCAACCUCCGAAAAGCACAAAAAAAGAAGAAAAAAAAAAAAAGGAAAAAAAGAAGUUCUAGGAACAUUCCCUUAAUUACGAACUUUACAGAUUCUAACGAACAACAACCCCACUGCCAACCACAAAAAUUAAAACAAAUAAUAAUAAUAAUAAUAAUAGUAAAUUCUAGUUAGGUCCACUGGAGCAGGUCCAGGCAAUAACUUAAAAGCAGUUGGAGAGAGAGAGAGAGAGAGAGAGAGAGAGAGAGAGAGAGCCUACUCAUCAGCCAGGCUGAUGCCAUAGUGGCGCGCUAGUCGACCCAGAGUGUCGUCUUUCAUUACAUUCUCUAUCAUCUCAUACUUCUUGUAGUUGGCCGUGAGCAUCUCCAGCUGCUGCUUCGCGAGCUUCUCCUCCUCUUCCAAUUGUUUCUGAGUGGCAUGCAAACAAAUUGAAGAGAAGAAUAUCAAGUAAAACCUUAAUAAAUAUUAUACAAUUAGAAAUCUAUUCAAGCCACUUCAAUUUGUUCGGCCUGCAUAACUAUUGAGAAGAGCAAGCGGGACGAUUAAAACCAUGGAGGCAGCACAAUCUAUUUCAAAAUCUAUUUCUCUUGCAGCUCAGCAACAAAAAAUUCAAGGUUUCUCAGAAGAUACUAAGCAGGAUUUUGAAUUCCCUUUCGACAUUUCGUCUCUUUUUACUUCUAGGAAGAAAGUAGGAAAUGCCACUGUUCAGGUUAAAUUUCUUCGAAUUUUGACCCUCAUCUCAAUUACGCACCAAAAGAAGUUCAAUUUCAAGAAUUUGGCUGCUGAUGUUGUCUGCUUAGCAAUUAAGCCCAUCCCACAGUUUACCGCCAGGGGGGUAAAAAUAAGCCACAUUGCAUCAUUUGCUGUAAUUCAUGGUCAGGAUCAAUAGGGAGCACUCGGUUGUUACCCUGAGCAAACUUUUUGAGGAUAAAUUUGGUGAACAGAAGACCUCAAAAAGCACCUGCAGUACAGCCAGGGCGGCCGUAUUUCACCAUCAUGCUGUUGGAAGUUCAGUCUCUGAUUGUAGUUCACAGUUUUGGCUAGGGACCUAUCAUUAAAUGUCCUAAAGGAACAUGCUUCGAGGCUAUUUUUUUAAAAUCGAUAACCCACCUACAUAUUUGAAAUAGAGAGCGAACUUCAGAGGCUACAUUUGUAAUUCGCCCUAAUGCUUGUUUUUUAAGUUUAAAUAGUAAUUUCAUUCGGCAGCUAGCAAUACGAAAAACAAGAAUCAAUCAACUAAACCACAGAAGAACAAAGAAUUUCAUACAACAGUUACCUUAAUGAGAGCUAAAGUCUCUACAUGGUGCCCCUUUGCUAGCAGCUUCAACUUCUUCGCAGCCUCAAAAUCUGGAUCCGAGGGGUCAACCCACCGGACCUGCAUCUUCCGAUCAGGUGAAGGCCUAUCAGCAAACAUUUCAGGCUGGGCACGGCGGGCCCUCACGGGCCGCGGCAUCCCGGACAUCAUGAAAGGAAAGUCUGUCAUCAUAGAGAUCACAGUAUCGACGUGCUUUGGAUCCUCCAUCUCGACCAAUGCUGCUUGUGGAAUAUUGUAUGGAAGAGUAUAAUUUGGGAUGAACUCCACAUUCACAGCAGUCCCGAACUGAUCGACAGCUGUUUUAAUGACAGAUGCAGUGACAUGAGGAGAGAGGUUUUCAAGGAGGACAGUUCUCUUGACCUUUUCCUCGAAUUCCGCGUAUGCCUUUCUAGCUUGCUCUGAAGAUGAUGACAUUUUCUUUUUCCAAUCUCUUUCCUGCUGGGAAAAAAAAAAAAAAAAAAAAAAAGUAAGAAGUAAAGCUGAUUAGUAUCAGCCAAUUGUAUGGACAAACCCUCUACUAUCCAGAAAGUGCGUCUUUUGUCCCUAAACUUUUCAUUUAAACACUUCAACCCCUAAACUUCCUUAAAUAUAGCGACCAUUUUACCCAUUCUGUCAAAAUAAUCACCAUAUUUAAGNUAAGCAGGAAAAAAAAAAAAAAUUUACCAGUCCAUCGAUGAGGAGAUAAUGUCGCCAUUGUCAUCCAAAGCAAGACCAGUGACUUGAUACUGAUGCCCCCUCAGAGGUUUAAUGGCUUCAGAACACAGCCCUUUCUCCUUCUCCUCCUCCUCCUCCACUGCAAAUUUGAAAAGAAAAAAAAAAAGGAAAAGUAAGAAGUAAAGCUGAUUAGUAUCAGCCAAUUGUAUGGACAAACCCUCUACUAUCCAGAAAGUGCGUCUUUUGUCCCUAAACUUUUCAUUUAAACACUUCAACCCCUAAACUUCCUUAAAUAUAGCGACCAUUUUACCCAUUCUGUCAAAAUAAUCACCAUAUUUAAGUUUACUACAUACACGAUUAAAAUGGUCAUUCUAAAGUUUUCCAACCAGAGGUGGAAUUGCAAUAUAUGAGAAGUUCAGAGAAUUAAGUGUGAGGGAAAACUUUUUUUGAGUAAUUCGUACGAUCAAAGUAUAGAAAACAACGCUAAAUUUUAUCCAUAAAAGUAUUGUAAAUGUGUUAAGAAAUAUGCAAAACAUAUCAAUUGCAAAUAUUGACAUGCAAAAGUAAUCGAAUGAUGUAUUAAUCUACAAGUUUUAACGAACAGUGCCAUUACAUUAUGAAACAACAUGUUAUCACCCUUAGAACUAAAAACAAAGAAACCUAAGACAGCAAAAAUAUCAUACGGAGACAAAGAAAUGAGAAAUUUUGCACGAGCGUCAUUUAAUUGCAUAUAAACGAUAUAAUGUAUUAAUUACACAAAGAAUUCUGAUUUCCUAUGUAUCAGACAACUGAGAGACGUUAAAUACAGAUAGAAGUAAUGGGUUCCUUGGUGUUUUUUGAUUCAGAAUGGAUUUGGAUAAACCAUCGUAUUCAAUAUUUGAAGCGACUUCAGUCUUCGGCAGAUCAGGAUAUGCAUGUGAUUUUAGUUUUUAUCGAGCAAUCUUUAGGUGGUUUCAUGGUUUCUAGUGAAAUCCCUCACUUCAAUAUACUACAAUGGAUCUACAAAUGCAUUCCAAGCCACUUUGAAACAUGAAGGGAAAAAUAAUAUAGGGCGUGACAGAACCUUGAUAAGCAAUAAGCAGUCAGAUAGUCACAAAAGAGGAAAUAAACUCAUAAAUUUAUCCAGUUUAAUUUGUAUGAAUCCAAAUAAAUUUUUAAUUUGUAUCAAAAAAAAAAAAUCCGACCGAGACUUGCAAAGAUACUCCCUCGCCCCAAACCCCAAAACAAACAAAAGAAAAUUCUUUUGGUAAGAUUCUUUUCCUUCAAAAAUCUUCAUAACCAGAGAAACUUAAAAACCUAGAGCUAUUCUUUGUUACCUUUUUAUAAUUAUCCUAUAUAUAUAUAUAUAUAUAUAUAUAUAUAUAUAUAUAUAUAUAUAUAUAUAUAUAGCGCGAAUCUCCUAUACNUAUCUCAAGCCGAUGAUAUGAGAAUACUCAUACUAGCGGAAACAUGAGUAUUCAAUAAAAGUUACUAACUCGAAGGCUAGUUGCUAGAUACGUCAAUUUGUAAUAGAUCAGGUAAACUUUAAAGAUCUUUAGUUUAAAGUAUUAAAAAACUAUAGUAAAUAGAAUACUAGUUUUCUAGAGUUUUAACUGUUAAAAAAUGCCAGCAAUACCCUAUGGACGAUCAAAUUGUCACAUUUUCCUAGCUUUAGCCAACUUAAAAACUAUCUUUUAAAAUAGUGAUAGGUCUAUUUCUAGUUAUUAAGGCUAGAAUUUAAUUUCAUAGGAUAGGAAAUAAAAAUCCUUCAGUAACAUAAAACUAGCAAGUAAAAUACGGACGAACUACCUAAAAUAAUAUUAAA
rnacentral:lncRNA from 1 species